UAAAUAAAAAUAAAAGUAAGAAUGAAUUAAAAAAUUCUGCAACUACAAAAAAUUUCACCGCCUCAUUUUUAAAUAUAAUUUCAAAUGAUCUCUAAUAAUUUAAAAUUCAUUUUGACUUGUGAAUUUUGAAUUUUUAAAUUUAAAUUUUCAAUCAAAAAUUCUAAAUUUGAAAUAUUGAAAUUUCCAAAAUUUGAAACUUUGAAAUUUAAAUUAAAGUUAAAAUUUAAAAAUUUGAAAAUUGAAAUACAAGAUUAAAUUUUAAACUUUAAAACUUAAAAUUUGGAACUUGGAAUUUGAAACUGAAAAUUGAAAUUUAAAGUUUAAAAUUUAAAAUUUAAAAUAUUAAAAAUAUUAUAUUAGAAUUUAAAAUUUAACGGGAGGAUGUGGAGUUGAAGAAUUGUAAAAAUUUUUUUAUUAGGUUGGACGGGAUUAUUAUUUUACUUUUUUUUUAAGGUAUAAUUUAACUAUGGGAAAACUUCAAAUACCUUUCUUUGGUUUCAUUUUUUCUCACUUUAGUACCCUAUGGUUUAAAGUGUAUUAAGUUAGUACACGUGAUUUUGCACUUUUUCACUCUAGUAUUCUGUGGUUUAAAGUGUAUCAAGUUAGUACCUUGUGGUUUCGCACUUUCUCGCUUUACUAUCCUGUGGUUUCACGCUUUCUCACUUUAGUACCCUAUAUUUUAAAAAUCACACGGUACAAACUUAAUACAAAAAUAAAACAACAAGGAACUAACUUAAUACAAAAAUAAAACCACAGGAAACUAACUUGAUACACNUUUCAGCCGUUCAUUUUUGUGUCCACUUGAUGAAUAAGAGAACAAUAUAAAAAAUGUAUGAAAUUUGAUGUCUAAACACUUCAAGUGGUAUAGAUCAUGUUCAACAGUGUCGAUCAUCGAUUUGGAGGCUCCAUCAUCGAAAACAAAUAGGAGGCAACGGAGCUCGUUUGCUAUCGAUAGUAUUCUAGCUCAACUCUCUCUCUCUCUCUCUCUAUAUAUAUAUAUAGAGUCCGGCUAUGGUGCUUGUAAAAGCACCAAGCACUUGGUGCUUGUAAAUUUUUUACUGUUAGAUCUACUUCUCGGAUCAUUUUCAACCAUUAGAUUAUACUAUUCAACCAACCACCCACUCAACCCUAGGGGGCCCACAUCACCCUAACCGCAUAUCUCUUAAUCCAAUGGCUACAAAUCUACAAGCAUCAAUUACUUGGUACUUUUAAAAGCAUAGGAGCUCAAUUAUAUAUAUAUAUAUAUAUAUAUAUGUCUCCUAUACUUUCGAAAGUACGGAGGCCUCCGUACUUUCGAAAGUAUAGGAGACGUACUAUAUAUAUAUAUAUAUAUAGAGUAAGUCUCCUAGAGUAAGUUUUUUGUACUUUCGAAAGUACGGAGAGCUCCGUGCUUGUAAGUUGUUUUCGAUGAUAGGACAUUCGAUUCGACGAUCGGUUCCGUGAAGUAUACUCUACUCUGUUGGAACUAUCUAGAAACUAAAUUUUAUAAUUUUUUGACAUCAUUUACCAAGCGAUCAAAAGAUCUCAAAAAUGAAUAUUUUAACGGCCGAUGUGGCACGUUUUUAAGUUCAACGGUGUAGAAGUAUCCAAAUUAUAUAAAAAUUUAAUAGAAAAUUCUACGUAACAUCAGUAGCAAGAUCAAUACUUCCGAUUUAAAUUUGAGUCAUUUAUCACUAUUUUUUAUGAGAUUUUCAUUUUCAGCCGUUCAUUUUGAUACUACUCGUUCACUAGACAAACAAAGUUAAAAAAUUAUGAAAUUUGGUUUUCAAAUAGUUCCAAUAGCGUAGAUCAAGUUUAACGGAACCGAUUGCCAAAUUGGAUGUCCCAUCAUCGAAAAUAACUUACAAGCACGGAGGUCUCCGUAUUUUCGAAAGCAUAGGAGCCUAGCUCUAUAUAGAGUUGAGCUAGAAUACUUUUACAAGUAUCACCCUCAUGGUGCUAUUAGUUUUUUAGCCAUUGGAUCUACUUCUUGAUUACUAAUAGUUCUUGGAUCAAACACUAUUCCACCUACAACCACCUACCACCACCUACCACCAUCAUCUCAACCUCACAUCUCUUCAUCCAAAGGCUACAAACACUAAAGCAUCACCCAUGUGAUACUUGUAAAAGUAUUCUAGCUCCACUCCUAUAUAUAGAGUAGAGCUAGAAUACUUAUAAAAAUAUCACCCAAGUGAUACUUGUGUGUUUUUAGCCCUUGGAUGGAGAGAUGUGAGGUUGAGAUGAACCUAGUUUGUGAUAAGGUGGAUGGUGGUGGAUGGUGGUGGAUGGUGGUAGNNNNNNNNNNNNNNNNNNNNNNNNNNNNNNNNNNNNNNNNNNNNNNNNNNNNNNNNNNNNNNNNNNNNNNNNNNNNNNNNNNNNNNNNNNNNNNNNNNNNNNNNNNNNNNNNNNNNNNNNNNNNNNNNNNNNNNNNNNNNNNNNNNNNNNNNNNNNNNNNNNNNNNNNNNNNNNNNNNNNNNNNNNNNNNNNNNNNNNNNNNNNNNNNNNNNNNNNNNNNNNNNNNNNNNNNNNNNNNNNNNNNNNNNNNNNNNNNNNNNNNNNNNNNNNNNNNNNNNNNNNNNNNNNNNNNNNNNNNNNNNNNNNNNNNNNNNNNNNNNNNNNNNNNNNNNNNNNNNNNNNNNNNNNNNNNNNNNNNNNNNNNNNNNNNNNNNNNNNNNNNNNNNNNNNNNNNNNNNNNNNNNNNNNNNNNNNNNNNNNNNNNNNNNNNNNNNNNNNNNNNNNNNNNNNNNNNNNNNNNNNNNNNNNNNNNNNNNNNNNNNNNNNNNNNNNNNNNNNNNNNNNNNNNNNNNNNNNNNNNNNNNNNNNNNNNNNNNNNNNNNNNNNNNNNNNNNNNNNNNNNNNNNNNNNNNNNNNNNNNNNNNNNNNNNNNNNNNNNNNNNNNNNNNNNNNNNNNNNNNNNNNNNNNNNNNNNNNNNNNNNNNNNNNNNNNNNNNNNNNNNNNNNNNNNNNNNNNNNNNNNNNNNNNNNNNNNNNNNNNNNNNNNNNNNNNNNNNNNNNNNNNNNNNNNNNNNNNNNNNNNNNNNNNNNNNNNNNNNNNNNNNNNNNNNNNNNNNNNNNNNNNNNNNNNNNNNNNNNNNNNNNNNNNNNNNNNNNNNNNNNNNNNNNNNNNNNNNNNNNNNNNNNNNNNNNNNNNNNNNNNNNNNNNNNNNNNNNNNNNNNNNNNNNNNNNNNNNNNNNNNNNNNNNNNNNNNNNNNNNNNNNNNNNNNNNNNNNNNNNNNNNNNNNNNNNNNNNNNNNNNNNNNNNNNNNNNNNNNNNNNNNNNNNNNNNNNNNNNNNNNNNNNNNNNNNNNNNNNNNNNNNNNNNNNNNNNNNNNNNNNNNNNNNNNNNNNNNNNNNNNNNNNNNNNNNNNNNNNNNNNNNNNNNNNNNNNNNNNNNNNNNNNNNNNNNNNNNNNNNNNNNNNNNNNNNNNNNNNNNNNNNNNNNNNNNNNNNNNNNNNNNNNNNNNNNNNNNNNNNNNNNNNNNNNNNNNNNNNNNNNNNNNNNNNNNNNNNNNNNNNNNNNNNNNNNNNNNNNNNNNNNNNNNNNNNNNNNNNNNNNNNNNNNNNNNNNNNNNNNNNNNNNNNNNNNNNNNNNNNNNNNNNNNNNNNNNNNNNNNNNNNNNNNNNNNNNNNNNNNNNNNNNNNNNNNNNNNNNNNNNNNNNNNNNNNNNNNNNNNNNNNNNNNNNNNNNNNNNNNNNNNNNNNNNNNNNNNNNNNNNNNNNNNNNNNNNNNNNNNNNNNNNNNNNNNNNNNNNNNNNNNNNNNNNNNNNNNNNNNNNNNNNNNNNNNNNNNNNNNNNNNNNNNNNNNNNNNNNNNNNNNNNNNNNNNNNNNNNNNNNNNNNNNNNNNNNNNNNNNNNNNNNNNNNNNNNNNNNNNNNNNNNNNNNNNNNNNNNNNNNNNNNNNNNNNNNNNNNNNNNNNNNNNNNNNNNNNNNNNNNNNNNNNNNNNNNNNNNNNNNNNNNNNNNNNNNNNNNNNNNNNNNNNNNNNNNNNNNNNNNNNNNNNNNNNNNNNNNNNNGCAUUUUAACAUUUUUUUUAAAAAACUACCUUUUUGCUACAAUGUAACAAUCAUAAUGGAACCAAACACAUCCUUAACUAUUUCAGUCUCCAAAGCAUCUCAGAGAAAUAUUUUUUUCUACGGAGAUAAUGUACUAUAAUAAUUUAACUAUGUUAUGUUCCAACGGGAUCCUUAGUACUUAAGCUUCAUCCACUCUAUUAUAAUAUUUUAAAAUAUAUUUUUUAUUAACUUUUUAUAAAAAAAUAUUUGAUUGAUUGAAUAGAGAUGAUGAUGUGGCGUAGGCCCGUAGACUUUGUAGUCAAUGGAACUGGGGUCUCGUCGCACGCUAGUCAAUAAAUAGCGGUCUUCGUCUCCUAUCCUCCGGACGUGGCUUUCAUUUUUAGGCCCAGUAGGGGAGACUGGGUCUUAUGCCCGGUUGGCUUUGAGAGCACGUCCGAUUUAUGAUUAGAAUAAAAAUAAAACUUCAAUUUAAAUUAUAUCAGAAUAAAAAAAUAAAGUAAUAAAUUAUUUAAAAAUAUUUGGCUCAUAAAGGAAUUCUAAGCCACAAUAGUAUCUUCAAAUGGGCCGUAUCGUACAUGUUAGGAAAUGGAAGAUCCAUGUACAUGUUAGGAAAUGGAAGCACCAUCGACUUUGGACAGACCGCUGGUGUGAGAAAGUCCCCCUACAAUCAUUAUUUUCGGACAUGUAUGACACGGCAACGCCCAGAAACAUGAGAAUUAAGGAUUGUUUGACGUGUGACGGGUGGAAUUGGAACAAAAUCAUAUGGAGAAACAGUUCUGUUGAGUUCGGAUCAAGGCCUAGCUUUUCAGCACUUAGGGAAAGGAUAUCCGAAUUUAGAGCAGAACAAAGGCCGGAUAGAGUUUUGUGGAGGUGGAGCUCUGACGGUCGAUUCUCAGUGAAAUCGACCUAUUCAGCUUUGAAUGAUGGGGAUACGAGGGACGUCCGAGCAAACAAAAUAUGGAACUUUCGAAUACCAUUAAAAGUAAAAGUGUUUUGUUGGAUUGUCCUCAGGAAGAGGUCUUCGACGGUAGACAACUUGAUAAAGAGAGGAUGGGUCGGAAACACAGCUUGUGUGCCGUGUGGGGUUGAAGAAGAAUCAGUAGACCAUUUAUUUACACAGUGCGUGUUUACUAGAUUCCUAAUGGUGAUGACUUUGGACGGCAUCCAGUCCGAGGAUAUUGGAAACGACGUGAAAUUGGUCCGGAAUAUGUGGAUGAUUAGAUAAGGGUGCCAGAUAUAGAGCGAUAGGUUGACUGGACUUAUAGCUUGCUAGUGGGUUACUUGGGAGGUCAGAAACAAUAUGAUCUUUCGAAGGACUCCGACAAACCUCCUAUUAGCCGUCAGCAAAAUCAAACAAUUAAAGUACAAUGUGGGGGCAAAUUAUCCCAUCGAAGUAACUUUUUAUUUUAUUUUAUUUAUUAUUUUUAUUAUUUUUACUCACUUUGCUUGAGACCUGCUCUUGCCUCACCCUUAUAGCCUAAUUCAUACUUCCAAAUGAAUGAAGCGGGUAGCAUGCUAUCUUUAUCUCAAGAAAAAAAAAAAGAAAUAUUUAGAAUUUUGAGGGAGAUUUUAGUUAAGAAAGAAAAAAGUUUUCACGAAAGAGGAAAAGUUAUCUGUGAAAGAGAGUUUUAAAUAAUUUAUUUUAAAAUAAAUCAAUACAGAAUUUAAAAUCGAAUAUCAUCGUAAAUGGAUUGGUCAUUUUCAUUCUAGAGUGGAAUGAGAAUUAAAAUUUGAUUUUUUAUAAAAUAAAUAACAACUAUCAGAAUUAGUGAAUUUUAUUCUUGUUCGUAGCCUAACAUGAGUGAACGGAACGAGUCGGGAGAGUCAUCUGUCGUAAAAUUGGGCUUUAGACCCAUUUGGAAUUGAGAGUCAUAUGGUGUUUGGUACUGAGAGUCAUCUGGCGUCCUAGUGCAGCGGUGGUCCUGUUGCCUCCUUCGCCUUAAUUUAGGGUUGGAGCCCUGGAGGACCGGUUAAAAUGAAUUACAAGGUUACGUAGUUUCUAAUAAAGGAUUUUAAAAAAAAUUUUGACUUCUUGAAGUUGGAGUGGCUAAAGUAAUCAGACCAAUUUUUAUACAAAUCCAACCAUCAAAUGGAUUAUUCCAUUUUAUUAAUAAACGUAUAAUACAUGACACAUAAGAUUACGCUGAAGUAAAGUACGCAUGCGGUGAUCGGCUGCAUACUUCGUCCCAAAUUCAUGAAAAGUACAAAACAGCAUUAAUCGAUAGCUGCUGGCUUCUCCGCUGCAGUUGCAUCAGUGGCACCGUCAGUCUUACAAUUAUUAGAGACGAACAGCAAGUAGAACCCGAAGGUUACCGUUGCCGCGCCUGCGCACCACACGACCACCGCCACGGGCAGCGGAAGGGUCUCCGCGACGCAGUACGAGAACAUCGCAGUCAGUAAAGUGGAGAGCGACCAGACCGCAGCCCUGAUGAUGCGGCGGUGAGGGGAGCCGUGCGGCGCGGCCUCGUAAAGGCAGAUGCAAAUGUGGAGGAGAAGCAGGAUGAGGACGGAGACGCACGCGAAGAGGCGUGCAGCAGAAGAGUUGGCGGAGACGUAGGCAAGGAGGAAGACUGGGACCAACAAGCGGCCAUACGAACUUGGCGUCAUGAAUCCCAGAACUGAAUCAAAAUCGCGAGAAUUUUUUUUUUUUUUUGAGAAAAUAGAUAGCAAGCUACCUGCUUCAUUCAUUAGGUAAUCGCGAUAAAUAUUACACGCUGAAUAUCUAAUAAGUUGCAACUUAACGUUGGGAGCCUUAUUAAUUUAUAGGUGCUUUAUAUCUACUUCUCAACAAGAAUGGUAUCUUUCCACGAAGUUCUGUUGAUUCUUUUCCCGCUGCCCAAGGACUAUUGGGGCAGCAGAAAAGGGUGCUAACGCGCUUGACACCCGACAUUUUAUCCAAAUCACGAUUCGGAAUGAAGCAGAUUUAUUUGAUGUUGAAUUAAUAUAAUGUUGAUUAUGAGUAUAAUUAAAAACUAAAAUUGGACAGAUUCGGGUUGGAAUCUAAAACUCAAACCAAUUUUAUAAUAAUAUAAUAUAUUAAAAAAUAAUAUUAUUUAUUAUAUAUUUUUUUAUAAUUUUAUAGUUGUUUUUUACUUUGGAUAUUUUAAUUUUAAUAUAGUAUAUUUUAAAAUUUGGUGAAGAUAAAUGAUUGUUUUCGGUUCGGAUUUUGAUUUUUUUUUUGGCUGCCGAGUUUGGUAUAGUAGAUUUUCAAAAUUCGAUGGUUUUGAAUUCGAAUUUCGAAGUUCAGUGGUAGGGUUUAUGCUCAUGAUUUUUCAAUACCCAUCUCGUGUGUACUCUACUGCACUUUUUUGACAGCAGAGAGCAGAAGUACCAAUCAAGACAACUAACCUUUAGACUUCUACCGACUGUCUCUAGAGCAUGUGGUCGUACCUAGAGCAAGUGGCAAAAGGCUUGAUGGUUAGUACUCGAGACCCAAGUUCGAAUCCUAGUUGAUUCGCAUUUCCAGUUGAAUUUAUUUCUAAAUGAAAUAAACGAAACGGAUAACGCGCUACCUAUCUCUAAAAAAGAAAAAAAUUAAAAAAAAUUUUUAAAAAAAGGCUUUUAGACUUUCUUUGGGGUUGUGAUAAGCUUUCUAGUUUGUGAUUAGAAAGUUUAGAUUUGUUUUAAAAAAAAAUUAUAGAGAGAAGUAGCACUUUAUUUGCUUUGUUGUUUUAAGAGAAAAAUCCGCGCGUUGCGGCGGAACGACUUCAUAGAAAUAAAUAAAUAAAUAAAUUUAAAAAUAACAAAACAAAGAGUUAAAAAAUUAUAUAAUAUAAACAACCGAAAAAUAAACAAUUAAUUAAAAUUUGAGAAUAAAAAUAUCACAUACCUCAUUAUUUAAAUCAUAAUACAUUAAAAUGUGGGGAUUAAACUGUUAUUCGUCCUAUAUUUUUAUUUUAAGGAUGAAAGUGUAAAUCCAAUCUUUCAAUUUUUUUUAUCCAACUUUUUAUAUGUUAGAUUUGAGCAAGUCAACGAUAUUUUGACAAUUCUCGCAAUUAAAUUUUAUAAAAUAUAAAAUUAAUUUAAAGCUCUACAAUUUUCUUUUUUUUAAUCGUAUAAUUCUAGCUAUAUCUUAAAUGCUCAAUAUUGUAAUAUUUAAAAUUUAUAUUUAAUAUACAAAUAAUAUAAACUAUUUAAUAAUUAUUUUAUAUACUUUUAAAUUUUUAUAGACAAAAUACUUCUACGUACAUGAAAGCAAAAAAAAAAAUUGAAAGUCAGAGGAAAAAAAAAAAAAAAACCUCCGUCCUGCUCUCCCACUACGUGGUCCCACCCCACUGAUCUCUGAUUGAACUUUAAAAAAUAAUAAUUAAGCAAAAAUUAAGAUGAAGAGAGAAAUUAUUAUUAUAAUGUAUAAUAUAACUUUGUUAGAAAAAAUAUGAUUUAUGUUCUUGACAUUUUUCGCUCUAUUACUUCUUAUCUAUCUUUAUCCUUUAAUUUUUAUUUUUUAUUUUUAACUUUUUUUCAUGUUUCAUUUUAAUUUUCUUUCUUCUUUUAUAUAUUUUAGAUUAAUUGUUUAGCUGCACCUAAUUAAAAUUCUAAUAUUAAUAAUCAACCAAAUAAUUUAAUUAUUUAAAAUUAUUUAUAUAUUUUUAAAUUUAUAAAAAUAAAUAAAAUUUAGAUAAAUAAAAAAAAUGUAUAAUUUUUUAAUAUGUAUUUAAAAGAACAAAUAUAUAAAAAUAUUUUAAGAGAAAAAAAGUUAAAGAGAUAAAACAAAGACAAAAAAAAAAGAAAUCCAUCUCAUGCUCUCCAUCUCCUCCCCUCGGCUGGCGCCACCCUCUCAUCUCUCCCUCGCUCUCCCUCUCCCUCAUCUCGCUCCUCUCCCCACCAGCGUGUGCCCCGCGACUGCCCGCCCCGCGCGCACACGCACUGCCCGCGCCCAAGUGCCGCCGCCCGUGCCUCCGCUCAACGCGCCACGGCUAGCUCGCAUCCCCAAGUCUCAGCCCCCGUCUCGCCUCUGCCGCGCAGCUCGAGCUCCGCGCCAGUCCGCCCGCGCUCGCCGCGGCCGCGCCUUUGCCCGCCGCCACCUCCCACACCGCCGCCACCCCGCGCCGGCAUCGCCUGCCCCCUCUCGCUCGGCACCGUGCAACAGAGCAAACAAAGGAAAAGAGGAGGAGAAAAGCUAAAAGAAAAAGGAAAAAAAUAAAGGGGGGAGACAGUAUGUACCACCGUCGAAGGGUAUUAGGGCCAGCGUUGGUAGGGCAUCGAAGGCCAGCGUUGUUGGGGCAUCGAAGUCCAAGUGCCUUUAUAUAGCCACAUGGGUCGAAGGCAGCAAGCUGGACGCCGGCCUCCUCUAGAUCUAUAGAACGCCGGUGAACGUGGCGCGAACGUGCAACAUGAUGAGACAGUGAUCGGACAGCGAACGGGAAAGGACCUGUACAAAAUGGAGCACGGCGGAGGAUAGAGUGCCAACGCGUUGCUUGGGAGGUGGGCGGUAGGCGAGCCAUACGGUAGACGGGAAGAAUGGAGAAGCUUCGCCGGCGACGCGUCGACGAUAGCAUGGCGACAGGGAGGAUGCACGUUAAGUGCAAGGCGUUGCGGUGGAGUGGGCUAAUUAAUGGAACCGCUGAGGCAACAGAGAAGCCCUUAGCCAAAUUAACGCGUGUGUGCCACAUCAUGCACAAAAUUGGAUUUCAUUAGAUUUGUGCCACAUAUGCAUACUCUGGAUUUUAUUAGAUUUGUGCCAAACAUGCAAACUCUGGAGUUUUCAACACAAAAAUAAUUGAGAUUUAAGUAGAUUUGUGCCACCUCAUGCUAAAAAAAUAUUAAAAUACAGCAGUUAAAUAUGAGAAUAAAAAUAUAAGGUAAUUACUACAGUAAAAUAUGAGAAUUAAAAUAUAAGAAGUAAAAAAAAAAUUAUAAAAUUAAUAAGCCAUAUUUAUAAUUGCAAUAGCUUGAGUUUGAAAUUGCAACUCAUUAAAGUUUGAGAACUAAAACUUUACGUAUCUCAUACUUUCAACAAAAAAAAUAUAAUCCAUUAAAAUUCGAGGACUAAAGUGUUCUGUAUUUUAUAGUUUAAGGAUCAAAAGUGCAAUUUUUCCUCUUUAUAUGUUAAUUUUAAUCCAAACAAAGAUAAAAUUGAGCAUCGAUCGGGUUUAUUUAUUUAGUAAUUUUAUUUGAGAAAAGAAUAUAUUAAAAUAUUUAAUAAAUUUUAGAAUGCCUACUUGUUAAAAUUAAAAGUCAACCAAUCACAUUUUGGAUAUUUCAAAAUAUUUUAAAAGUAAAAUUUAUCGUUCAUUAAACUAUAAAUAUGGUAUUUAAGUUUUAUAUUAAAAUUAAAGUAAAAACGUACAGAACUUUUCUAAAGUACGAAUUAUUUUGAAUUAGCUAUCCAACCUUUAAAAAUUUAAUUUUUACUAUCUAACCUUUUUAUAUAUUAAGUUUAAGUCACUUAAUAAUACAUUGACUUCAAAAUUUGAAUGUGUCGUUUACAAUAAAUUUAAUUAGUACUUCAUUCAAUUUUUGCAACUAAAUAUAUUAAAUAAGUAAUUAAUUUAAACUUCAUCCAUCGCUCUUUUAUUUUUUAUUCUACAAUUUAUAUUUAAAUAAUUAAUAUUAUAAAAUUAAAUUUGAUAUUUAAUACAUAUAAUCUAAACUAUUUAAAAAAAUGUAUAUAUUUUAAAUUUUUAUAAUGAGAGAGAAAAAUUAAUAGAUUUUAAAAAAAUUAGCCUCUCAAAAACAAUAGAAAAGAAAAAACUAAAAAUAAAAAAUAAAAAUAUAUAUAAAAGAGGUAUGGGCCCACCUCAGCCGGCUGGGGCCCACCCCUUAUAACUCCUACCCGGCCCCUUUUAUGCCAUGUGUUAAAAACUGGACUUUCAUUAUGUUUAUAGAAGAUAGUACGCUAUUUGUUUCGUUUAUUAUUUUUUUUACUGAAUAUUUUGAAUAUUAGUAAUAAAGGAUUUGAUUAUUAGUAUCUAAUAUUUUAAAUUUAAGUCUAGGGGUUUUUUUAUACGGAUCGGACUGGGAGGGGGAGAAAGGAGGAGAGGAGAAGCGGUUACCUUCUUCUUGCUAGCCAUGGCGAACACCUUCAGUGGUCGUCUUCGAGAAGGGAGGAGAUGCGAACGGGAGAAGGGCGACGACGACAACGACAACGACGAAGAAGAAGAAAUGGCGGAGGCGAUCGCGGAGGCUGCCAUAUUUUUUUUAGUGGGAUUGCUGUGUAAAUUCGAUGGAUUUGGGAUUUUGAGGUGGAAUUAUUAUUCGAGCAAAGGUAUGUUCAUCUCCACUUCUUUUUUUUAGCUCAAUUCUUUUUUUUUCUGGGAGUUAUUAUUAUUAUUAUUAUUUUUUGUUGGUCUAAUUUAGCAUUGCCAAGGAAGCAGAGGAAUCAGAUUUGGGCCAAUAGAAGUUGGAGAGGCUUAUCCCUUCAUUCUCCAGGAUGGGGCCACUACAGAGCCUUGAAAUAACUGUAGCCAUGAAAAAGGUGCUCCUCUCCUAACCAUGAAUAAAUCAUUCUCUUUCUUUUUUUUUUAACAUUAUUUUACUUUUAGCAAAAUGUGCUGAUAAAUCCUAAACUUGUCUUUCAUAGUCUUAGUUCUUUGAUUUUACAUCAAAUUACUUACUUAUCAAUUUAAAUAUAUGUUUUUUUUUCCCUUUUUGCUAGUUUCUAGAUUUAUUUUUCCUGUUAGAUCCUUCAGCAUUGUUUCAGUAAUUCAACUUUGCUCCCUCAAGUCUACUCAAAACUACAUGAGACUAGGAAAGAGGCACUAGAAAUUUCCUCAAACAUUUAUACUUCAUCUUCAGCAAACAUUUGUUCUAAACAUCAAAAGGUUUAAAAAAAAAAAAGGACUUAGCAGUAUUAGAGCUCUUUGUCUAUCCAGCACCUACAAGGCGCUUUUGUAUAAAUUGCUAACUACCAACUACAAAUACACGUAUUCUGUGUGCUUGGAUAAAGUUUACAUCCCUGAGAAACAUUAACGAUUUCACAUGGAUCAUGAAGCAUAGUUUCGAAGAUAUGCUUCCUUUCUAUCUUCAUUUCCUCCUUUCUACACAUCCUUCUUCCCUAGCAGCAUUUCUCGAACUACAUGCAAUUCCUUGAUGACAUCUCCAAUCAGCAUUCGCUCGGUGGGGAAUUGCUUUGAACACAUGAGGCCGACUCUAAGCAAUGAAACUAUGCACUGAAAUGCUUUUCCGCCAGUUGGUUCCUUCUCUUCGAAAGCUUCGUCUUCAUCAUCUGCUAGUUCUGCGAGCAAGGGAGUAUCGACAAUCUCAAUGACCCUAUCAGGGAAGGCAAUCUCAACAUAUCUGUGAAGGCUUAGAUCUUCUUUAAAGAUGUUAUCUGUGGGUCUUCUUCCUGUCAUCAUCUCCAUGAGAAGCAUCCCAAAACUGUAGAUGUCUCCAUGUGCAGAGACUCUGUUCCCCGCUCCAUACUCUAGGACAAUCAAGAUAUAUGGGAAUGAAUAAGUUUGUAAGUCAAUGUCUUCAUAAAAACUAGUGAUACGACAUCUGCCAAGGUUUAAAGGAUAAUUGUUCUACAAGUUUUAAAACUGUCGUUUGGUCAUUUGCUUUUUCGAAUUUAAUAUUUUAUUACGUGGAGUAGAGUAGAGGGCCAUCUAUACAAAUUUAGCUGUUCCUGAUAAUAUGGAUGCAAAGUUUCACUUUAGAAGGGUAAACACAUAAUUAUCUAAGUUGCAAGGGAUCUAUAUACAAAAGUCUCAUAAUCUUUCUGGGUUCGUUGUGUAUUUAUUGACAUUGUUGCUCAAAAUUAGAGUACAUUACACAGAUUUCCUAUCCUUGUAUCCUUUUAUGCAUGAAUCACAGUAACUAGAUUGUAUAUGAUAUCAUUUUCGAAAGCUUAGACAGUAUUAUCCAACAGGAAAAAUAAAAAAAUGUGGCAGUGAUACACUAACCUGGUGCUACGUAUCCAAUCGAUCCUUUGAACCCGAUCGAGCUUGCUGACUUUUGGGCUGUCCGGAACCUGGCUAAUCCAAAGUCCCCCACAUGAGCAACCAUGUCAUCAUCCAAAAGAACGUUGCUUGGCUUCAGAUCACAGUGCACGAUCGGUGUGCCAGAGUGGCAAUGAAGAUAAUCCAAUGCAGAAGCCACAUCAAUUGCAAUGUUCAAUCUUUGCAGAAGGCUCAAGUGUUUUGAUUCAGCUUGUGAGCUUGCUUCGUGAUGCAGCCAAUCUUCCAAACUACCAUUCGGCAUGAAUUCGAAGACUAGCGCUUUGAAUUCAUUCCCAUUGUAAUCUGAGCUCGAACAUGAAGUUAUUAUCCUUACGAGAUUUCUAUGUCGAAGGUUCUUCAUGGCUUCACACUCUGCUGUGAAACUUUUUAAAGCUCCAGGUGUCUGAAGGUUGAGAACCUUCACGGCCACAACCUUUACACUAUCUUCUCCCUCGCCUUCCAAUACUCCUUUGUAAACAGAACCAUAGCUUCCCGUGCCAAUUAAGUUAGUCGCUGAGAAUCCGUCCGUUGCUUUAACCAAUUCAGAGUAAGAGAUUCUCAAAUGGUCUUUCAGGGAUGUUGAAGGAUCUCUUGCAGAUUCCGGCCAACAUCGAGAAUAGAAGAAGAAGAACAAUAGCAAGAUUGAACUGAUAAUCACGGAAGCGACUAUAACUAGAAUCACGAUUAUCAGUGUUCUAAAAGUGUGUUUGUUUUGUGGGGAUUUGAUAUUACAAGGUGGUAAAUGAAGUUGCUUGAUUCCUCCGCAGAGCUUGUUAUUCCCCCGGAUUGAAAACGCGCUAAUAUUUGAGAAAACCCCUGUUUUCGGCACUUCACCCUCGAAGUUGUUGAAAGAGAGAUUCAAAUAGUAAAGGCUGCUGUAAUCCUCAAAAAAACUUGGAAUCUCUCCGGAUAAAUUGUUGCUUGCGAGGUCCAAUUCUUGCAUAGCUUUCAGUGCUCUAAAAGAAGAUGGAAUGCUCCCCUGUAAGGCGUUCAUUUGUGCGUACAGAAACUGAAGAACUUGGCACUCGCCGAGAGUAGAAGGAAUUGUACCGGAUAGUUUAUUCCCUUGUACAUCCAACAUCUCCAGAUUCUUCAAAUUUCCCACUUCCGAAGGUAUCGGUCCUACAAGAAGAUUAUGUGAGAGGACAAGAUCUGUUGAGAGAGAGGAGAUGGCCAUCACGUCUUCAGGUAUCAUACCACUCAGCUUGUUAUAAGAAAGGUCUAGCUGCUGCAAAUGAUGUAAGUUACCGAGUGUUUUCGGUAUGUUCCCACUAAAUUCAUUUGAAGGUAAAUAUAAUACCAACAGCCGGGAGAGAUUUCCAAUUGUGGACGGGAUUUCUCCGGUGAAGUUAUUAUAUGAAAAAUCCAAUUUUUGCAAGUUUUUGAGCAUCCCUAUUGAUGCAGGGAGACUACCUGCGAGAGUGUUAUUGCCAAUUGAAAAAAGGUUUAAGUUCACCAAGUUCCCAAUCCCUUCGGGAACGUUACCUGAGAACGAGUUUGACCCGAGAGUGAUGAAUACAAUCGAAACAGAGAGGUUGGAAAUUGAGGUUGGUAGCAACCCACUUAACUUGUUGUUGUGUAACAACAGAUAUUGCAAGUUACUGCAGUUCGUUAAGGCCGUGAAGAAGCUCCAAUCAUCAGGUUCUUUCACUUCGAGUGAGUUUUCAUAGAGCAGCAGCUUCUGAAGAAGCUGCAAAGAUCCGAUCUCUGGAGGGAUGGUGCCGCUGAAGAAGUUGGUAUUGAUCUCAAUAUCCGAAAGCCUGGUGGCGUUUGCUAGUGAAGCUGGGAUUGGUCCGUGGAACUGGUUUUGAUACAUGAACAGAGCUUCAAGGCGAGGAAGGGUCUCGCCAACAUCCUGUGGGAUGCGGCCAGUGAGUCGCUCAUUGCCGCCCACCAAGAGGUCGACGAGGGAGGAGAUAUUCCAAAUGGCCGGAGGUAUUGUUCCCGAUAAGUUGUUGAUGCUUAAGUAGAGGAACUUGAGGUUCGAGAGGCGGCCUAGUGUAGAAGGAAUGGCGCCAGAGAGUUGGGUUCGCAUUAGGUUGAGAAGACGGAGGGAGGUAAGGUUACCUAGUGAGUGGGGUAUUUGGCCGGAUAGUGUGUUGCGGUAGAGGUCGAGAUAUGUGAGGGAGGAGAGGUUUGCUAGGUCGGGUGGGAUCUCACCUUCGAGUUGGUUGUAUCCUAAAGCAAUGGUUUCGAGGGCCGAGCAACGGCCGAGGGCUGCGGGGAUGCUUCCGCGAAGAGAAUUGUGGCUGAGGUUUAAGUACUGCAGCCGAGAUAGGCGGCCAAGCUCGAUGGGGACUUGGCCAUCGAGUUGGUUGUUAGAGAGGUCGAUCGUCUUGAGGAAGGUGAGGUUGGCGACGGAGGGGGGGAAGGCUCCAGCGAGAUUGAGCGAGGACAAGCUCAAGGCCGUGACUCUGUCUGGGUGGCGGCGGCCUCCGCAUUCGAUGCCUUGCCAGCUGCAGAAAGGAGCGGACUCGUUCCACGAACUAAGCGCGUGUGACGGAUCGGUCAGCAAGGACUUGAAGGAGAGGAGGGCAAGGCGGUCAGUGGCGGCGUUGGUGGUGUCCAGCAGCACGGCCACGGCGUGAGCCCGUGAAGAAAUUGCACGGUGGUGAUGGCACGAAAAGAGAACAAGGAGGGCCACAAGGAUGGCAAAAGUGGAACGUGAAUGCAGCAGCGACAUAACUGCAAUCUCGGGCCAACGGUAAUCGAGUUCAGCUCAGGUGUGGAAAGCUUACAUGCAAACUCUUCUUUUUUCUCUCUCUCUCUCUCUCUCUCUUCUUAAUGGGCAGAGAGGGAAGAAAACUAACUACGACGUGCGCUCCCCCAGCAAGAAUUUAAAUGCCGUAGCACGGGUGGUGCUGAAAAUUUACCAGCACAGUCUGGCACGGUCCGUGCUGAGUCGUACCGAUGCGUGCCGGUGCCGACACAUAAUGAUAUAAAAUAUUUAUUUUUUUUAGUAACAAAAUAUUCUAACUAUUUAGUAUGUUUUUUAUCAUAUCUUUUAAACUUUAUUUAAAAAAUUAUUUAUUAAUUUAAAUAAUAGAGGGUUUUGAAUUGUGCUAUCGGCACGGGGUCUGUAUCGUGUCAGUAUCGUAUUGAUACGGUGAAUAUGGUCCAUACCGACGGGCACUUAAAACCUUGCUCCGACGCUGAAGCUCGAAAAUUACGGAUGUGAAAAAAAUAGAGAAAAUUUUGGAGCGGUAGUGCGGUACCAAAGCGCACGGCGGUCUAAUCAGUUUUUUUUUUAAUAAUAAUAAAAAAAUAAAUAAAACUAAAAUUAAGAAUGAAUUAAAAAAUUCUGCAACUACAAAAAAUUUCACAGCUUCAUUUUUAAAUAUAAUUCCAAAUGAUCUCUAAUAAUUUAAAAUUUAUUUUGACUUUUGAAUUUUUGAAUUUUUAAAUUUAAAUUUUCAAUCAAAAAUUCUAAAUUUGAAAUCUUGAAAUUUUCAAAAUUUGAAACUUUAAAAUUUAAAUUAAAGUUAAAAUUUAAAAUUUUGAAAUUUUAAAUACAAGAUUAAAUUUUAAACUUUAAAACUUAAAAUUUGGAACUUGGAAUUUGAAACUGAAAAUUGAAAUUUAUAAUUUAAAAUUUAAAAUAUCAAAAAUAUUAUAUUAGAAUUUAAAAUUUAACGGGAGGAUGUGGAGUUGAAGAAUUGUAAAAAUUUUUUUAUUAGGUUGGACGGGAUUAUUAUUUUACUUUUUUUUUAAGGUAUAAUUUAACUAUGGGAAAACUUCAAAUACCUUUCUUUGGUUUCAUUUUUUCUCACUUUAGUACCCUAUGGUUUAAAGUGUAUUAAGUUAGUACACGUGAUUUUGCACUUUUUCACUCUAGUAUUCUGUGGUUUAAAGUGUAUCAAGUUAGUACCUUGUGGUUUCGCACUUUCUCGCUUUACUAUCCUGUGGUUUCACGCUUUCUCACUUUAGUACCCUAUAUUUUAAAAAUCACACGGUACAAACUUAAUACAAAAAUAAAACAACAAGGAACUAACUUAAUACAAAAAUAAAACCACAGGAAACUAACUUGAUACACUUUAAACUACAGGGUACUAAAGUGAGAAAGUACGAAACCACAUGGUACUAACUUGAUACACUUUAAACCACAGGGUACUAAAGUGAGAAAGUGCGAAACCACAGGGUACUAACUUGAUACACUUUAAAUCACAGGAUAUUAAAAUGAAAAAGUAUGAAACCACGUAGGGGGUUUUUGAAGUUUUCCCUUUAGGCGGUGUUUGGUUUCAUGUAAAAGUGCUCAGAAAAAAAAAAUUUCGGUAAAGUGAUUUUUCCCUUAUUUGGUUGCUCGUAAAAUAAAGAUUCUCGGAAAAAAUAGAGUUUUCGUUUUCCUCCCGCCUUCCGCGGAAAACGAAAACUUGCUCCAAAAGGCGCGGCUCACAGCCGCUCAAAAAGGCACGGUCCACGAGAAAGCUUGGUUAUCGUGGACUGCUUGAGUGGUCCAAAUGGACCACUCACCCACUCCUCUCUCUCUCUCUUAUAUAUAUAUAUAUAUAUAUAUAUAGAGUAAGUUUACUGUAUUUUCGAAANAAAAAUAUUUCUCUGAGAUGCUUUGGAGACUGAAAUAGUUAAGGAUGUGUUAUGUUCCCAAGGGAUCCUUAGUACUUAAGCUUCAUCCACUCUAUUAUAAUAUUUUAAAAUAUAUUUUUUAUUAAUUUUUUAUAAAAAUAUAUUUGAUUGAUUGAAUAUUGAUGAUGAGGACUUUGUAGUCAAUGGAACUGGGAUAAAAAUUCUAUGGGCAGCGGCCCCAAAUUAUUUAAUUUGGGGCCUGUUCCGGAUGGGCGCCGCAUGGCACAGGUUCCACGCGGCGCCCAUCAACCACUUCUCUCCCAAUAUCGGGAGAGCAAUGGAAAUUCCGGGCGCACCUGGUGCAUCUAUACUAAGUGCACCACAAAAUUAAUUUUUGAUUUAUAAUUUUUUAAAAUUAUAAUUUUAUGUAAUAAUUUAUUUAUUUUUUUUAGAACUUAUCAUGUAGAAGUUAAAAUUUUACACUAUUUGGUUUCAAAAAAAAUUAGAAGUAAUAAAAAUUAAAAAAAUAAUUUUAUGGUGCCCCUAAUAUGGAUGCACAAGGUGCACCCGGAAUUUCAAUGCUCUCCCCAUAUUGGGAUAGCAGUGGAGGAUGGACCCCGUGUGGCACCUGUGCCAUGACCGGCCCCAAAUUAAGUAAUUUGGGGCCAGUGCCCAUAGAAUUUUUGUCCAUGGAACUGGGGUCUCGUCGCACGCUACCCAAUAAAUGCUGGUCUUCGGCCUAUCCUCCGGACGUGGCUUAUUUUCAGGCCCGGUACGCAGGGAAGACUGGGUCUUAUGCCCGGUUGGCUUUGAGAGCACGUCCGAAUUAUAAUUAGAAUAAAAAUAAAAACUUAAAUUUAAAUUAUAUCAGAAUAAAAAAAUAAAAUAAUAAAUUAUUUAAAAAUAUUUGGCUCAUUGUGAGAAUGAAAAUCGGAACGAAAUAUUUAGAAUGUUGAGGGAGAUUUUAGUUCGGAAAGAAAAGAGUGCUCAUGAAAGAGAAGGUAUUUAUGAAAGAGAGUUUUAAAUAAUUUAUUUUACAAUGAAUCGAAACAGAAUUUAAAAUCGAAUAUCAUCAUAAAUGGAUUGGUCAUUUUUAUUCUAGAGUGAAAUGAGAAUUAAAAUUCGAUUUCUAUAAAAUAAAUAACAACUAUCAGAAUUAGUGAAUCUUAUUCUCGUUCCUAGCCUAACACGAGUGAACGGACCGAGUCGGGAGAGUCAUCUGUUGUAAAAUUGGGCUUUAGACCCACUUGGCAUUGAGAGUCAUAUGGUGUUUGGUAUUGAGAGUCAUCUGGCGUCCUAGUGUAGCGGUCCUGUUGCCUCCUUCGCCUUAAUUUACGGUUGGAGCCUCGGAGGACCAUUUAAAAUGAAUUACAAGGUUACGUAGUUUCUAAUAAAGGAUUUUUUUAAAAAAAAAAUUUGACUUCUUGAAGUUGGAGUGGCUAGAGUAAUCAGACCAAUUUUUAUACAAAUCCAACCAUCAAAUGGAUUAUUCCAUUUUAUUAAUUUACGUAUAAUACAUGACACAUAAGAUUACACUGAAGCAAAGUACGUAUCCAGUGAUCUGCACAUACUUCGUCCUGAAUUCAUGAAAAAUACAAAGCAGCAUUAAUCCAUAGCUGCUGGCUUCUCCGCCGCAGUUGCAUCAGCGGCACCGUCAUUCUUACAAUUAUUAUAGACGAACAGCAAGUAGAACCCGAAGGUUACCGUCGCCGCGCCUGUGCACCACACGACCACCGCCAUGGGCAGCGGAAGGAUCUCCGCGACGCGGUACGAGAACAUCGCAGUCAGUAAAGUGGAGAGUGACCAGACCGCAGCCCUGAUGCUGCCGCGGCGAGGGGAGCCGUGCGGCGCAGCCUCGUGAAGGUGGACGCAGAUGUGGAGGAGGAGAAGGGCGAGGAAGGAGAUGCACGCGAAGAGGCGUGCAGCAGAAGAGUUGGCGGAGACGUAGGCAAGGAGGAAGAGCGGGACCAAAUACAGGCCAUACGAGCUGGGGUUAAAUAGAUUGGCCAUGGAUCCAAAAUAAAGUGAAAUCAAAAUCUGGGAAAAUAUAUAUUACACGCGCGCUGAAUCUCUAAAACGUUGCAAGUUAACGAUAGGAGCCUUUAAGUUAUAGGAGCGUACGUCGGCGCAUUUAUUCGAGGAAGUUGCAUGGCAUUUGUUCAUACUUCUCCAACAAGAAAAGUAUAUAUUGACCGACUUUAUCUAUUACAGUAGGUCUUUAAAUUUAGUUGAUAAUGUGAAACAUAUGAGCUUUAAAUUUGAAAUCUCAGAUAUUAACUAUUAAGUCUUUUGCUACUUGCGUUAGAAAAGGCCGGUCUAUUCUAAUUUAAGUUAAUACCGACAUUAGUUCCAAUAUACAACUUUGUUUUUCUUUCAAAAUAAUUUAGUGGAGUAAAGGCCAAGGUAAAUUGAGAAGAAGUUUCAUUCAUGACUAAAUGCUGCUAACCGUUUACAUGAUGUUCAAUGUAUAUAUUGUGUGUGUAGAGCUAGGCUGGAAUACUAUUAAUACCACCAAGUUAUUGAUGCUAUUAAUUUUUCGACCUUGAGAUUAAGGGAUGUGCGGUUAAAAUGAUGGUGAUCCUCUAGGGUUGAGUGGGUGGUUGGUUGAAUAGUAUGAUCUAACGAAAUGGUCAAAAUGGUAGAUAUAACGGUAGAAAACUUAGUAGCACUAAGUGUUUGGUGCUAUUGAUAGCAUUGUAGCCGAACUCGUGUGUGUAUGUAUAGAGUGUGUCUCCCGUACUUUCGAAAUUACGAAAACCUUCGUACUUGUAAAUUGUUUUCGAUGAUAGGACAUCCGAUUCGACGAUCGGCUGCGUUAGGCAUAAUCUACGCUAUUAGAACUAUCUAGAAACUAAAAAGUUUCAAGAAUGACUAUUUUAAUGAUCGAUGUAGCACAUUUUUAAGUUCAACGGUAUAGAACAAUCCAAAUUAUAUGAAACUUUAAUAAAAAAUUUUACUUAAUAUCAAAAGCAAGAUCAAUACUUCUGAUUUAAAAUUUGAGUCUUUUAUCACUGUUUUUUAUGAGAUUUUUAUUUUCAGCCGUUCAUUUUGAGGCUACUCGUUCAAUAAGCAAAUGAAGUCAAAAAAUUAGAAAAAUUGAUUUCUAGAUAGUUUCAAUAGCGUAGGUCGUAUCUAAUGGAACCGAUCGUAUAAUCGAAUAUCCUAUCAUUUAAAACAACUUAAAAGUAUAAAGGUCUCUGUACUUUUAAAAGUAUAGAAGCUCAAUUCUGUAUAAGGUUAAUUGCAUACAGGUUCUUGCAAAUAUAUCCCUAUAAAGUUCAAUUUUCAUAAGUUAUCCCUGUAAAAGUCCUAAUGUUUUCAGAUGUCUCUGCUAUUAGAAUCUGUUAGAAAAGUUUAGUUAACCAUAGGUUAAAUGCUUUACCCGGAUUAAUUUUUGACAUUUUUACCCCUCUUAUAUUAUACUGUUAUAACUUUUGGAGGAACAUAUUUGUGAUGGCAAAAUUGAAAAUAUAAACAGUUUUCUAACGGCUCUCUAACGGUAACAAACCAGAGGGACAUAUUUGAAAAUAUUAGGACUUUUGCAGGAAUAACUUAUGAAAGUUGAACUUUAUAAAGAUAUAUAUUACAAUUCAUUAUAUUUGCGAAAACCUGUAUGCAAUUAACCCGAGAGAGAGAGAGAGAGAGAGAGAGAGAGAGAGAGAGAGAGAGAGAGAGAGAGAGAGAGUCCGGCGGGUAUACCCGUACUACCGAGUUAUUUUCGACGAUGCGGCUUCCAAAUUAACAAUCGGCUCCGUUAGACUUGAUCUAUACUAUUGAAGGUAUUUGAAAACUAAAUUUUAUAAAUUUUCGACAUCAUUUACCUAUCAAACGAGUAGUCUAAAAAUGAACGGCUGAAAAUAAAAAUUUCAUUAAAAAUGAUGAUAAAAGACUUAAAUUUAAAAUCAGAGAUACUGAUCUUAUUCUAAAUAGUAAAAAAAAAGUUUUUAUAAAAAAUUCAUCGGAUUUGAAUUGUUUUACACCGUUAAAUUCACAAAUGCAUCACAUCGGCCAUUGAAAUUAUCAUUUUUUAAACCUUUUGAUCACUUGCCAAAUAAUGUCGAAAAAUUAUGAAAUUUAAUUAACAAAUAUUUUUAGUAGUGUAGAUCAAAAUAAUUUGGUAGCACGAAGUCCUUCGUGCCACCGAUAGUAUACCAGCAUAGUUUUCUCUCUCUCUUAUAAAAUAAGAGUAGGUGAUUCUUUCCCGCUGCAGAAGGAAGAUAGACUUUGAGGGCAGCAGCCAGCAGAUAGAUUCGGUAUAAUUUUGAUUAUGUGUAUAAUUUAAAAAAGGAAAACUUCAAAAUAAUUCAUGUGGUUUCGCACUUUCUCACUUUAGUACCAUGUGAUUUAAAGUGUAUCAAUUUGCUCCCCUGUGGUUUUGUUUUUAUCUUUUCUAUAGCUUUUUUCUUAAUAUUUCGUUAAAUUAUAUAUAAAAAACUUCAGAUACCCAUCUAUAUUUACAGAAUAUUUACUUUAGUACCCUUUAAUUUUAAUUUUGUCACUGAUUUAAGAAAAAAAAAUAAUAAAAUUGAUAAAAAAAAGAAAAAAAAUGAAACCACGUGGGGACAAAUUAAUACAUUUUAAAUAACAGAGUACUAAAGUGAGAAAGUGCGAAACCACAUAGGGAGUUUUCGAAGUUAUCCCAUUAAAAAACGAAAACACGACGGGUACAUCUUCGGAUUUGAUUUUUUAUCUAUAUCAUAUCGGGACUCAAACUGAUUUUAUAAUAAUAUAAUAUAAAAAUUCAAAUUAAGUUAUUUAUAUUUUUUUGUAAUUUUAUAGUUGUUAUUUUUUUUACUUUGAAGUUUGGAUUUUUAAAUUUAAGAAAAACUUCAAACACCACCCCUAUGAUUUCACACUUUCUCACUUUAGUAUCAUAUGGUUUAAAGUGUAUCAAUUUAAUAUCUUGUGAUUUUAUUUUUAUCUUUUUAUUAUUGAUUCCACUAAUUUUUUUUCAUUAAAUCAGUAACAAAAUUAAAAUUAAAAGAUACUAAAAUAAAUAUUCGAUAAAUCUAGGUGGGGUAUCUAAAGUUUUUUGUAUAUAAUUUAACGAAAUAUUAACGGAGAAGCUGACGAAAAGAUAAAAAUGAAACCACGGGACCCUAACUUGAUAUACUUUAAACCACAUGAUACUAAAGUGAGAAAGUGCGAAACCACAGGCGUAGCAUUUGAAGUUUACCCUUAGGGUGCGUUUGGUUCGCGCUAUCUUUUAAAGAUUCCUACUAAUCCAAUGGGAAUAAAAAAAUAUGACGAUGUUUGGCUAAACGCACUAAGUAAUCUAGUUGGUAAUAUUAGAUUCACUUGGGAAUAAAAUUCACCCCAAAGUACUAAUCUCAUUCCCUUAAGGGAGGGUGGGUAUCCUCAUAUUAAUGGAUUGGAAUAAUCAUAAUAUGUCUAAUCUCUUUCUUUCUUCUUACCCGCCGGCUAAUUAAUAUAUUUUUUUUUUACACUCUAACCUUAUUUCUUUCUCUAAACUUAUUUUUCUCUCUAAAAUUUAACAUUUUUUUCUCUCUCUAAACUAAGCUUUCUCUCUCUCUCUCUUUCUAAAAUUUCAACUCUCUCACUCCCUCUAGUUUCGACUAUAUUUUUCUUUCUAUUUUUUUAAUUAUGCUCUCUCUCUCUAACUUAUACUCUCUCUCCUUUUUUCUAAAAAGAUGUUGAAACUUUUGGUAACAUUAUCUAAAAUUAAUUAAAUAAAUAAAUUAAUUAAUUGUAUAUUUUUUGUAAUAUUAAAUAACAUGGCUAAUUAAUAUUACCGUGCANUUAAUUGUAUAUUUUUUGUAAUAUUAAAUAACAUGGCUAAUUAAUAUUACCGUGCAAACCAAAUACAGAAAUUUCAUAUUCUUAGUAAUAGGAUGAAUAGAAAUAAAAUUCUCGGAUAUCUUUUAUUCCUAGUAAUCUUUCAUAAUGCGAACCAAACGUACCCUUAAAUUUAAGUAUAAUAUAUUUUAAAAUUUGGUAAAGAUAAAUGAUUGUUGUUGGGUUCUGAUUUUAUGGUUCAAGUUUGGGUUUUGAGUUAGCUUCAUUAACUAUUCAGUGGGUGUAAUGUUUCAGGGAUAGUUUUUUCACUAUUCGGUGGUGGAACCCGCAAACUUUUUCUGCCAUGCAUCGGCAUGGAGUAGCGGCUCGAGCAUCAUGGCCCUACGUCGAAAGUCAUACAUUUGGACAUGGCUAUUUUAUAAAUUGCGUCAUUGCAAAAGUAUUAUACUUUAGAAAUUAUGGAAUGAUAAAAUAUAUAUUAUUUUGUCAACCUAUGAUUUACAAUUUUACCAUUCUAUAUUUGUAAAUAUAAUAUUUUGCUAUUCUCUUUAAGCAUAUUUUUUUUUUUAAGAGAUAGAUAGUAUGCUACCCGCUUUGUUUAUUUUAUUUAAAAAUAAAUUUAGCUGAAAAUAUAAAUCAAUUAGGAUUCAAACUUAGAGUUUUAAUUAUCAACCAUCAAACCUUUUGCCACUUGCGCUAGGAACGACCGGUCUCAAAUCAUAUAUGAUCACUACACAAAUAUGCUAAAGCAGCUAAACCAAAAAAAAAAAAAAAAAGGAAUUAAACCUGGCGUUAAGCGGUUACGUAAAGGCUUAACCGCUUAAACUGUAGCCGCGUGAUAAGUAAGUAAGAAGACGACGAGAAUCAAUUUAUUAAUUUGUUUAGACAAUGUUGGCACGUUUCGAAUCUCUACACAUUUUUGCAACCACUCUAGUCUCUAACCCCUACACAUUUAUUUAUUUAUUUAUUUAUUGGUAACGCUUUAUUAAUCUCGGUUAAUCCGUAUUUCCAUGGAAGGGAGAGAGGGAGAACCCCGGAACGGAAGUCCACUUCCUUGCUCUAAUUCGCCUCUUCGUGUGACGGUCACAUGAGCUCCUCUGUUGGCGGCAGUCCACUUCGGCGGAGAGCCUUGUCGGAGAGGUCGCUCUCCGCCAUGGCCGACGACGACGAAGACGAAGACGACGACGACGACGCCGGAGACGGCACCACCACCACCACCACCUCUUCCUCUACACCACCCCCUCCCACACCCACACCAACACCACCCACGCCGGAGACGGCCGUUUCCUCCGCGACAUCCAAACCCUAAGCAGAGCCCUCUCCCUCGUCCCCCGCCGCUCCUCCGGCGAGGUCGCCUGCCCCAGGCCCAAGCCCUCGUCCUCGAAGAAGCCCUCGCCGUGGAGGAGGUCCCUCAAGGCGCUCUCCCACAUCGGCCAACGCCGCCUCGAGUGCGUCUUCUCCCUCCGCGUCCACUCCGUCGACGGCGUCCCCGCGGCGCUCCACGGCGCCGCCCUCGCCGUCCGGUGGCGCCGCGCCUCCUCCUCCGCCGCCGCCGCCGCCGCCGCCGACGACGACGACGACGACGACGCCGGGGCGACGAGCCCCGUCCGCGCCGUGGGCGGCGCCGCCGAGUUCGAGGAAACCCUAACGCACCGGUGCUCCGUGUACUACACCCGGGGCGGCGGGCCCCGGCGCCGCGCGGCGCACUACGAGCCUCGCCUGUUCGUGAUCCGCACCGCGGUGGUGGGGUCCCCGGAGGUGGACCUCGGGAGGCACCGGGUGGACCUGGCGCGGCUGCUGCCGCUCACCGCAGAGGAAAUGGUGGAGGAGGAGAAGACGACGGGGAGGUGGAGCACUAGCCUCCGCCUAUCCGGAGCGGCGAGGGGCGCAAUGCUCGAUGUCAGCCUAGGAUUCUCGAUCCUCAAGGACGGCGCCGCCGCCGAUCCGAUUGCGGAGAAGAAGAUCUCCGAGGUCUUAUAUGAAAAGGCCGGGGGAUCGAAUUGGCCCGGUCAGAUGAAUGAUUCGAUUGGAAGCAAUGAUCAACGGCAUUCGACGGACAAUGUGAAGAAGGUGCUCCAUGAGAUCCCGCGCAGCUCGAAGUCCGGUGCGCCUCUCGAGCCGGAAGAUGAGAAUUCUUGUGGCGGCAGCAGUGAUCAUGAGGCACAAAGUCAGCUCGGCGAGGUGGCCAAGUUGAAGUCGAGACACUACACAUUGUCAGAGCUGCUCAAGGGAUGUUCGGAGGAGGACGGGUGCGACGAAACAAAGUAUACCGUGAUCGAGCAGGGAGUCGAGGUUAGUUCGAUGGAUCGAAUUGGCGGAUCUAGCACGGCAGACCAAGUUGUCGAAGAGGAUCAAAUGGCGAAAGAGACGGAAUCCGCUUUUGUUGCCCUCUCAGUUCAAGGAUCAGAGGACACAUUAGAAUCUCCGAAAAUUGAAGAGAACUUGACUGAUCCGCAGAGCUAUGUUGGUCGCAGGUCUAAUCGUGAUUCUGCAAUCUUGCGCAUGUUAGGUAUAGAUGAAAGCUCAUCGGAAUUGAGCUCCGAUAGUGAUCCCGACUCACCAAGGGAGCAAUUGUGGAAGCAAUUCAAGAAGGAAGCUUUGGCCUCCAGCAACAGUAUCCUUCGUCGUGAUUUCGGUGAGGAAAUGGUAUCACAGGAUUAUGAUUGUUCUUCAAUCAUUCAUGAAACUGAGUCAGAGCUUAAUCAAGCUGUAAAUAACAAGUCCAAUGCAGAGAUGGUGGAGGAUGAAGAAGUCGAAACUUUGAUGCGUGACCGGGGAUUAAACGAAACAUCCUUCCAAUAUUCUCCACCUAGUGACAGCAGAAGCGGAUUUGGUAGCCCAAUUGCUAUCCCAUCCGAGAAAACUUUAGAAUUGCCGCCGAUUGGCGAAGGAUCGGGUCCAUCUGUUCGGACAAAGGGUGGGGGAUUUUUACGGUCGAUGGAUCCAUCCCUUUUCGAGAAUGCAAAGAAUAACGGGAGCUUAAUCAUGCAGGUUUCCUGUCCAAUUGUAGUUCCCGCAGAAAUGGGCACAGGGGUUGUCGAAAUACUGCAGCAUUUCGCAUCAAUGGGAAUUGAGAGGCUAUCGGUGCAAGUGAGCAAGCUUAUACCGCUGGAAGAUAUUACGGGGACAACAAUGCGGCAAAUAGCCCCGGAAGCUGCUCCUUCUCUGGAGGCAAGUCAGAGGUCUGACAGGUUUUUCUUGUUCAGAUUUUUCUUUUCUCUCAAAAUUCGAUUUUUUUGGUCAAAUUUUAGGAAACAGCCCUGUUCCUAUUUCAGGACUAUGUUCCCCAACAUUUUUCCUGUUGUUUUAACUUUCAUUUCAAAUAUAAGCCCUAUAUUUUAGGAGGACUGUCGAAUUUAAAAAGAAAACUUGAUGAAAAUGAGUUGGCAGGUAAUUUUGUUUACAGACAAUUGAAAUAAUUCACAUGAGUUGAAUAAAAUGUUCAAGAAGAAGCUCUCAAUUAGAUAGGUUUUAAGUUUCUGUUCGAAUUCAACAUUUGUUCUAAAAUUUUGUAUCAUUGGAGGCAAAAGCAACUGUAAACAAAGAAAAGAGACAAGCAAAGAAAAAAAAAAAGAAGAAAAAACCAAGUUCCAUAUUCCUGCAAUCCAAAUGUAUGUGGUGGUUUUUGUAAUUUAGCUCCCCUUCGGCAUAUCGCUUCCUCUAUCACAUUGUCUGAAAUUCCUUCUUCCUCUUCUUUUUUGUUUCUUAUGCAGGCAUAAUUUGCUGCAACAUCAAAUUCCAGAUGCACUGUCAGAGGCCAUUCCACAUGCCUCUGGUAAGAGCAGAAAAGAUAAAGGCUCGGCUUUCAGUUUGUCGAGCGAUAAGGAGAUGGCUUCUGAAUAUGUUUCAUUAGAGAAUACAAUCUCCGUUGGCAAUGACCAAGAUCGAGACCCUUUCCCUCGAAGGCCUUAGAAUACAAUCCGGCAUGACAGGCGAAGAGGCACCUUCCAACAUAAGUGCUCAAUCUAUUAGUGAAGUUCCAGCUUUGGAUGGGACACAGGCCAGAAGCAAAUUCUCUAUAAGUUUAGAGGGAGCAGCUGCUGGCUUACAUCUUUCAGAUGUUAAAGAUAACGGAGACAAUGUUGACGGGUUGAUCGGAUUGUCUUUAACUUUAGAUGAGUGUAUUAGGCUUGAUUCCGGAAUUGUCGAUGAAGAAGAUCAGAGUAGUGAUCGAACUUCAAAUAUUCUUGCAGCCCAUCAUGCUAAUUCUGACUACUAAAUGAAGUCGCGAAAGGGGCUAAGAAAGGAGGGAAGAGAUCUAGCAGAAGGUGGGGCUUGCUGGGUAAUAAUUUUUCUGUUUCUUUGAUGGUUCGGUUUCAUGAUCCUUUACAUAACUACGAGGCGGUUGGAAUGCCCAUGCUUGGUCUAGUUCAAGUGGAGCGUGUUUCGGUGAAAGGAAAUAGUGAACAAGAUGAGAAGGAUGCUCAAGCUGGCGCAAAAGCAUUGGCAAAUAAGGACAAGAUUGUGGACGAAAAUUCGAUUCCUCCAUUUAAAAUUACAGAAGUUCACGUCACGGUUUUAAAGACUGAAUACUGUAGGAGAAAAUUAUGGGGUAAUCCUACGCAGCUGCAAUCGGGGUCUAGGUGGCUAAUUGCUACUGGGAUCGGUAAGAGCAAUAAGCGUCCUUUAAUGAAAUCAAAGGCCAUUAAAAAGCCUUCUGAAGUGAGCUCGACGAUGCAGACAGGAGAUACUCUUUGGAGCAUUUCUUUGCGUGUUAGCAGAUCUUAGUCCUUGUGUAUACGUAAUACCAAUAUCAUCUUUCCGAAUGAAACUAUUAUGUUGUGCAAAAGCAGAGGGAAGAAGAAAAAUGUAACCUAUCAGUACUUCACAGCCCUAUGUUAAAAUGGACCAGUUUGAUUGUCACGUCCAAAGGACCAGGCAUGAGUGCAACUGUUCUUUCAAGGCUAAGAUGGUUGGAUCUAGAGCAGAUUUUUUUUUUUUUUUUUUUUUUUUUUUGUAAAGAAAUGUUUAUGUUCUUGCAUUUUUGCUUGUUUGAAACAUAAUUCCAUUUCUAUACCUGUUAUUAUUCUCGCUCACGACCGAUGUGUAUAGUGUGUAUAAUGAAGAGUAGCUUAUUUUAUUUGUAUAGGAUGACACUUCUAAUACAACUUGUCUUGUAAGAGGGUUUUUCCUUUUCUCUAAUUUUUAGAUCAAAUUCUCUUUUGUAUUCGAUAAACGAUGAAGAAUUGCAAUUCCUGUUAUAUGUUAUGUUAGUUGCUCUAAUUAUGCAAGAACUAAAUGGCGAAGCAAAAGAUAUUUUGGCAUUGUUCGUAUUAGAGAAAUAGAGAAUUCAACAUUUUUUUUUUUUGGGUAAUAGUUCUUUACUAAUUUGCGCAAAUUCAACUGUUAUUGUCAUCUCAUCUCAUGUGAUGACUUUUGAAUUUUCUUUAUAUUAGUAAAGUAGACAAGACUAAGUUUUGACAUAGUUCCUGUCUCCACAAUAUAUAAUGGAAGUUGAUGUGUUAAAGGAGAAGCCAAAUUGCUCUAUGAAAUACGGAAAACCAACUUGUGUGGAAUAUCUCGCGCAUAUCUGUAUACAAAUAAGAAGCUUAUGCACAAUAGUAGUUCUUUUUUGGUUUCUUUCUCUCUUUUUUUUUUGUUUCUUGAAUAUAUAUAGCAUUUUAUUCUUAUUAUUUAUGUUUGGCUAUAUUCAUUUAAAGUUGCAUAAUUUGUGGCAAAGCCAAUGGUAUCCGGUCCUUGGCCUCAUAACUAGCAAUAGAUGAAGAAAAUGUUAUUACUAAUUAUGCAAUAAGUAGAAAGAAUAGCUUUAAUCUUUUCAGUUUUGUAAUAACGAAAUGAUUUAUACCUAAAUUGUUGUUGUAGGAGUUCAUUUCCUUUCGUGAUGGCGAAACAAAGUCAUUCUCAUGCAUUCUUGAGUUUUCAGAGUACAGAUAGUACCAGCUUUUUGAGAACUCAUCAUACUCUAAUCUUUAACUCAUUGUCCUUCUUGUUGCUGUUUUUUUUUAAACAAAGAAAAUAAUACUAAUCCAUUCUUCUUAGUCAACAAGAGAUUCAAAGCAUCAAAGUACCCAAUAAAAUAAGAAAAGAAAGAGUAGUUUGAUUAACACUUUGCUUGGUAGCAGGGUAAUUGUACCUUCAUUUGGAUGUGCAAUGGCAGUGCCUAUUGGUGCGCCUGAGAAAAGAAGAAGAUCACUGACUAAGUUCAAACCAAUUUGCGUGAUCGGAAUUAGAUAGAUAACCUUUGUGAGGAAGAGCAAAGCAAAGAAUCUUUUCUAUAUCUCUCUUUGCAUAUGCAAAUAUGUAUAAUGAAAUUCAAGAAAAAACUCUGGAGGUAGCUGCUAAAAAGCGACAUGAAAGGAAAAGUAUAUUAACAGCUAAACUGAUAGAGUUACUUAUAGCAUCCUUUUCACAUCUACUGGAUGGUGCUGUUCCUUUUCGUUAGUUCAACAGAAAAUUGACAAAUAGUUAUUAUGAAAGACCAGAAUUUCAGUUGUUCGGAGUAUGAUAAGAUGCACGGUGGGCAUACAGAAUACGAGGGAAACUGAUAUAUUCUUAAUUUCUUCUCUCAGGUGAGAUCCACCAUCUUCAAAUCGGUUGCUACCGGAGACAUCAAUUGCAUUCGCAAGCACGGCCUCGACAACGCACUGGCUUCGGUGCAGGAGAACAUUCUCCGAGCUCUCUUCAGACGUGGCUUUCUUGAAAACAAUUCGCCAAAGUGUCUUUCCCGGAAGCUUCAUAAUCAGCUGAGGCAGGUAAAAGAGCAUGAUGGUUAUGUACUCCCUCGUAGGUGGUUAUCACGUAACGCGAGUCCUCUUUUUCUCUCUGCACUCUUUUCUUGACAUUGCAUCCGUCGCUUGAGCAGCGAUAGUAGUUCCUGCGAUCCAUUUCAUCCAUAUGCUGUUGAUGAUGGUUUUAUCAUGCGAAUACCCAAGAAAUAAAACUUAAUUGUGUAUUCAAUUUUAUCUGGAUAUAUCAUGCAUAUAGAGUCUAUUCUGCAUAUACAAUCUUUCUCUCAAAAAAAAAAAAUGAUAUGAUUUCGUUGUUCUACUCAUGGCUUUUUGUUUGCCGGAGAAAAAGAGACUAACAUGAACUUUGAUAACAUACACCGACUUGCCGUUGCUUCGCUUUGUUUUGCUCGCUUUCCGGUCGCCUAACUAAAUAUGGUCUUAUUAGUUGAAAGAUAUGAGCUUCAUUACCUGGGAUUGGGACUGUUCUUCACCAUCUUCUUCCCGUACUUCCUCCACUUGUAUCCAUCAUCCAACACCUCAAGCUCCGACUUAGUUUUGAAUGCAACCUUCAUUCUACCGCCCUUCGAAGAGCUCGCUCUCGCACUCUGACUCCUGCAAACAAAUCGUAUGUUAAAAAAAAUCGUAUAAGCGCAAGCAAUGGUUUCGAAGAUAAGGUCUCGAACCGAACACUUGCUUGCUGCAAUCACCACCAGAAGUUCUGCUCGCUUCGCUGCUGUUCUCUUGCAGGACAACAUGACUCUGCUCCCAAAAUGGGGGCUGAUCGCGAGCCGAGGUCUCUUCUCGCGGAUGUUCACCGAAGGUGAGGAAGUCCAUGAUCUCGAAAGACAUGUCGUCGGGGUGAUCAUUCUCCGAGGAAUUCGAUGAUAAUAAGGAAUACGAAGACAUUGCAAGGAAUCCCCAACUCCUAUUAGCUAGCCAAAACUGCUGCACAAAAAUUACAGAAGCUUCCCAAUUUCUGGGAAUUUAUGGGGGCUAACUUGAGCUGGUGCGAUGACUUUAAGUGGACUUGAAGAGUUGAGGCUUGAAUUCCAGGUACUCCUUUUUCUUUUCUUUUUUUCAUUUUUUGCUUUUCUCACUACCAAUCAAUUGCAUUGUAAUGUGAACUGAAUGAACAUUAGUAGCACCUGGUGCGUAGACUAGUAGUACACUGCAGUCCUUUUCUCAGCUGCGAGUAACUCAUUGCCUGCACACUGCAUACCACGUCGGCCGUGGUUCAGAUUCAUCGUCACCUGAUGAUCGAUCAUCGUGAAUUGUUUCUCUCCAAUAUCAGAUCACAGAGCGCGCGAAUUGUGGUUUAAGAAAAGCUGCGACUCACCAGUUGGUGAGAUCGUAAGUCUCUCCGCCGUGGCCUACGAAAGGAGCCGGCGAAAGCGAAAGGUUUUUGGCUCUUUAUGGUUUGUGUGGUAGUCUCUUUUGCGUAAAUGUAUAUGUUAGAAAUGCCGAGAGGUUCCCAUGAAGUGGACACAGAUAAGUUUGCGGUCUUUCAUUCAACUUCGGUCUCUACGGUGAUGACUUUGACCUGUGUGAAGUCUUUCGUGGCAAUAGAUAGGACAGAGUGCCGUGUUUCGGCUUUCAAUUAAUGCUAGAGAAAACUUAGUGCCGUGCUGUGGCGUCAAGUUUUCUGCAUCUCCUGAGUCAAUUCCAUCUGAGAACGACUCCGACGCCUUCACCGGGCAAAGGAGGGAUUAAUUAAAUGCUUAAGUAAUGUUGUGUGCACUGACACUUUUUAUAACUGUUUGUAGAUAAGAUGUAUGGUGGUACCGAUCAUAAUCAAAAGAAUCGAUAAAAAUUUGUUUUUUUAGAAGAGAAAAUUGAGCAAAAAUGAACAUUUUAAAAAGAGAAAAUUUUAGCUCCUUAUAUGUAUAUAGAUGUUGGGUUUAUGGAGGUAUCAACGUUUUAUAUGUUGGGUUUAGUUGGUUGUUGACUCUAGUCUAGGCUCACCUAAUAAAGUUUGGGGACAAAUUAAGUUUAUUGUACAUAAAUCAAACCAUAUGUGCCAUGCUCGCUUGAUCUAAAUUAACAGUAACACAUUUAAUACUAAUUAUUAAUUAUCCUUCAUACUAAUUAAGUAACCUAGAUAUAUAUUCAAGGUGCGUGCACUUCAUUUCAUUUUCCCUUUCUGCUAGCGCAGUUGAUAAAGAAGGCUUUCUGCGUCAGCCUAUAAUUUAAUUCAUGUUUUUAUUACCAUUCGAGUGCACUCGUACUCGUUAUUACUUAUAAAAGUAUAAGGAGUGGGGAGAAAAAAAUUAUUUGAAUGAAAACCAUUGGAAAAUGACGUUGCUCAAUUUGAAUUUUAUGCAACCAAACUUGAUACUUCAGGUUCAUUGUGGGAUAGGAAUGGUGAGUCAUGGGGGUCCAUCGAUACCCCUUAUGCGAAGUAAUGCAAUGCACACCACAAAGAAUCUGAUGGGUUGAUGUUGCAACCAAUGCCAUCACCAAACACACACCAUGCAUUAACAUCUCUCUCGCCCUUUGCAUAUUAUAGAACUGUUAUAUUCUUAUGCGUAUGAAGUUCUUCAUACUUAAAAGUUAUUAUUUUUUAAUGAUAGAUUUUUUGAAUGUAUGAUUCAUACCGUUAAAAUGAUCUAAAGUGUUUGAAGUAUGUAAAAGUCGAAUCUCGCUACUAUCUGAAUUUAUAAUAAAGUUUAUUGGGUGGGUAUAAAAUGAACAGUGAAAUUUAAAUAAUUUUCUACAAAUAGGGGUAUAGAAGUUUUAAAUUCAAGGUUGGAGUUAUCAAUCUUGGUUUAUAUAGUGAAUAAAAAUAUUUUAUCAAAAAUUCAACCAAUCAUUAUUCUUCUAUACUGUUAAUUGAAAAAUAUCUUAUACUGUCCGCUAAAAAUGUCACUUUUGAGGCUUUUAAUCGUAAAAGAUAUUAUGUCUAAAGAUAUAUGAUUUGGUUUCUAGAUAAAUAUUUUAAAUUGUAUUUAAUAGUAUGGAUCGUCCAUUUAAAAGUUUUAUCACAAAAAAUGACUUAGGAAUAUAAAAACGAUUAUUAUACUCAUAAUAGUAUAGCAGUCAAAUUCUAUAAAAUUCUACCAACCUUACGGUGGUCGAUAAUAUAAUUUCCCUACUAAUAUAUUCCCCUGUGGGUUUUCCAUAUAAAAGUUGUGUCAAAUUUGUUAGGGAAAAAAAAUAGGCCAAAAAACUCAGCAGAUUGAAUUUUAAAGAAGGAAUUUUUUUUUUAUUAGGGUAAAGAAGAAUGCUUAAAAUGUGGAUCUUUUACCUUCACAACCCCUUCGGAGAAUAUUGGUCUCUUUCCUUACAUAUUGAUUCAUCACAAAUCUUGCAUUUAAUGACCGACCGUCCUUAGAGCAAGUGGCAAAGAGCUUAGUGGUUGGUAUCCGAGACCCAAGUUCGAAUCCUAGUUGAUUCACAUUUUCAGUUAAGUUUAUUUCUAAAUGAAAUAAACGAAGCGGGUAGUGUGCUAUCUAUCUCUCAAAAAAAAAAAAAAAAAUCUUGCAUCUAAUGGGGUGCAAUGCACAUAUGUGCUUUUUUAAGCAAAAGUUUUACACUUAACAUCUAAAAAAAUCUUUCUGAAAGGAAAAGUGAUGCAUAUUUUUUAAGAAAAUUAUUAAACUUUGCAAAAUUCUUGUGAAAAAUGAGAAAGGGUGGUUUAACUGUACAAAACCAGAGGCACAUGAGAGCAGGAAAAAUUGUGGUGUUUUGUCUCAUUUCCUGUUAAGUAAAAAACAAAAGAUCACUGUCACAAUUACGGGAAGAGAAUGAUUUGACAAAACCCUUGAUUAAUUAAAUAUCUAAUAAUAAAAAAUUUAAUUUAAAGCACAAAAUACAAGCACACAUUGGAUACUCCUAAUCCUAGCAUCUCAUAGUUGUAAUCCAAAACUCUUACAAGAAAUACAUAUUUUGGAUUACAUAGAAAGAUGCAAUAAAUAUAAUUAAAUUGUUGCUAACGGAGCGAAUUCACAUCAAAGAAGGUCACCAACUAUAUUUCAUACACCAAAUAUAUAUACCACCAACUAUGAAGUUAUAGCUGCCUCUUUUUUUUUUUCUUUUUAGAAAAAAAUAGUAUGCUUCUUAUUUUAUUCAUUAGAAAAAUAAAUUCGGCUGCAGAAAUGAAACUGCAAGAUCUCAAAACAGGAUAGAGAAAAGCAAAAAAUCCAAAACAAAGAAACAGAAAAAAAAAAAAAAAAAAAAAAAAAACCUAUGAGGCCGUAAGGGCCCAAAUAGAAAAAGAGAGAAAGAAAAAGAGAGCCACUACUCACAUUUAGCCCGAUUGAAUCAGCGCUUAUAAUUUUUUUUUUUUUUGAGAGAGAAAGGUAGAACGGAAAGGAGAGCCACCGCACACAUUUAGUCCGAUUGAAUCAGUGUUUAUAAUGUUUUUUUUUUUUUUUUAGAGAAAGACAGCAUGCUACCCGCUUUGAUUAUUUUUUUAGAAAUAAAUUUAGCUGAAAAUGUGAAUCAAUUAUGAUUCGAAUUUGAGAUCUCAAAUACGAAUCACCAAAUUCUUUGCCACUUAUAUUUGGAACGGUCGGUCGGCGCUUGCAAUGUUGGUCUCAUAACCCCCUAAUGGUUGAAAUAUCACUCCAAAUUCUUGUCGGAUCGUUGGCGCUAAUCAUUAAUUUCAAAAGCUCGAGCUGUUAGAAAUACGCAACCAAUUUACUUAAAGCGUACAGAAACAGCGCCCACAGAUCUCGAUUUGACUCAGCCUAUUUGGCCUCACGCCACUUCGAACAUGACUCAGCCCAAUCCAGCCUCAUGUCAUUUCGAAUAUGACUCGGUCCACAUAGCCUCCGGCCACAAGACAGGAUGCUGGCCUAUUUAAGCCAACAAUUCUAACUACAUUACGACCCUUCUUCUGGAAAAUCUUACUAUUCCUCUCAAGUCAAAGUCGUCUACGGCUAAAGUAGUUAGCUCUCCUCUCCUUUGGGGGCUUUUCCUGUCUGAAAUAGAGACUUCCCAGAGUUCCCUAAAACAUCUUUUAAAUCUCCGAAGAAGAUGCAAGUAAUUGUGAGUCGAAAACAGGGUGGUCUCGCAGUUCGCAAAUAGGUGGUCAAUCAUCUCCGAGAUCUCCAAUGCAUAGCACACAUUUGUUGUCUCGUUUGUUCUCUCUCUUUUUACAAAUUAUUUAUUACGAGUAUUUAUUUCCUUCACCACUAACCUCGCGAAAACCUCAACUUUUUCUGAAACUCUUAAUUUUUUUCUUUUUUGAGAAAACUAAAACUCUUAAUUUUCAUAUCUAUAUCGUGGUAACGUUUCUAAUCCCCUCAUUCGUCAAAAAUUCAUAAAGCGACGUAACCGUAAAGUGUAGCUGCUUAUUAUUUCAUUUGUAUCAAAACUAUGUUAGCUUUAAAAAAAAAUAAGUAACUUUUUUUAAAAAAAAUCUAGUCAAAGAAUUAUAUAGAAUGGGAGGACUGCAUUCUCGACGGUCAGAUGGGUUUCUUAGGCUUCGUUUGAUUCGGAUAUAAAUAAAAACUAGCUUAUAUAAGGAAGAGUAAGAACUAGCUUAUACCAGGAAUAGUAAGAACUAGCUUAUACUAAGAAUAGGCACAAGUUUAGAUAUAAGCGAGAAUUAGAUCAAUUUUGUUUUUGGAUGAAAAUUUGGUUGUUUUCGGAAGUAAGAAAAAUAGCAUUUGAAUAGAAAAGAUGGAAUAAGAAGAAUAGUUGAUAGUUAUAAAUAGAAAAUAAUAAUAUUAUUUCUCUCAUUAUAUUUAAAAUUUAAAAUUUAAAUAUUUAAAUUUAAAAAUUUUAAAUUUUAAAUUUUAAAUUUAAGACCAAAUUUAAAUUUGAAAUAUAUAAAAUAUAAAUUUAAAAUUUAAAAUGUUAAAAUAUCAAAUUUAAAAUUUAAACUUUAGAAUUUAGAAUUUAAAAUUUAGAAUUUAGAAUUUUUAAAUUACAAAUUUUUAAUUUUAAAAAUUUAAGUUCUAUUUUAAAACAAAACUCUCUCCUUUUCUUUCUCUUUCUCUCUACCCGGUGGGUGGGAACAAGUUUGGUGGGAACAAGCUUGUUCCUGCCUUAGAUGGGCAACUAUAGUUCCCACUAAGCUUAAAAAGGUGUUUGGGUACAAGAUGGGUAUAAGUUUACACCCUAUCUUGUACCCAAUCCAAAGGGGAGCUUAGGAACUUGAUCGGAGAGAUCAAGAGCGUCGACUCAUAAGCCACUAAGUGUCUGACACGUGGACGAGUAAAACCGAAGCCUUAAUUCCGAUCGACCUCUCUUCUCAUUGGUGGCGGGAGAUUAUUAAACACCAUAAGGGCAAUUCCGUCAUUCGGACGGUGCGACGGGACUUUUCGGGGACCGUAACGGAUUUCGGAGAAUCCGACGCGGCACUUCCGAUUCGUGUCCGCAUACUGUCGUGUUGCUCCGGUCCCCGUAUAUAGAGUGUCCGCACCUCCGGUGAGGUUACCGCACCUCCCAUCUACUUCACAAUACUCGCUGUUUUUUUAACAUUUUGUAUUUUGCAGGGCGCAUAUAUUCUUAGCAGAUUCAACGUAUUAAAUUUAUUUUAUAUUAAAUUUAAUUUUAUGCAUCCGUAUCUAACUGUCCAUUCACGAUGCAUAUAAAUUUCCUUGAUUAUGAUUUUGAUGUUGAUUGUCGAAUUAAAAUAAAAAAAUAGAAAUAUCAUAUUACCUCAAUGAGAAUAUGCUACUCUUUCAUACAAAAUAUUACUCUUAGGUUUGUUUUGUUCACUUAUUUUACAUUAUAGAAACGGAAUGAGAUUUAUUAAUUUUGAUAGUUGUUAUUUGUUCUACAAAAAUUGAAUUUCGAUUAAAAAAACGGAAUGAGAUUUAUUAAUUUUGAUAGUUGUUAUUUGUUCUACAAAAACUGAAUUUCGAUUUUAAUUCUACUCUGUAAAGAGAACGGUUCAAUUUAUUUAUAGUUCAAUUUGACUUUCAAUUCUAGCUUAGAUAAAUUUUAAAGUAAACAAUCCAAACUCCUCUCUCACAAAAUUUUACAUGUCCUAAUAAUCUAUUCCGAUUUAAAUUCCAAUGAUCAACCAAAUACUUUUUACUGAUUUAUUAUUUUAUUUUUUAUUUCAAUGUAAUUUAAUUUAAUUUUUUAUUUCUAUUUUAAUUAUGAAUUAAACAUGCCCUUAAUACUAUGUCCAUGUUAAAGAAUAAAACGAAAUUUUUUUUUUUAUCAAAAGUAACGAGAGAUAGGUGGCAUGCUACCCGUUUCGUUUAUUUUAUUUAGAAAUAAACUUAGCUAGAAAUAUGAAUCAACUAGGAUUCGAACUUGGGUCUCGGAUACCAACCACCAAGCCAAAGCCACUUGCUUUAGGGACAGUCGGUGUAAUGGUUUGAAAAUUAAAAAGGAACUUUUGAGUGUUUUGUGACUUUUUGGUGAUGUAUAUGCAUCUGAAUUUUAGUUGUGUGGACGUUGAUCUGAUCUACCAAAAUAUAGUUACAUGGGUUUCGUAGUCUCUCCAAGCCAAUGGAUGGCAAUUUGUAGUGUAAUUAAUGUUGUAUGCGUAGACCUUCAUAAUGGUCUCAAAUUAAUUGGGCAAUAUUUUAUUUCUUUUUUGAAAGGUAUAACUCUCUAAUUAAUAAUUGAAUGAAAUGUAUUUGAAGGAGGGGACAGCUGUUUUGUAGUUGGAGAAUAUAACAUUGCCAGUAUUUAAUUGUGGAAAUUUCUAAGUUUUGGGAGUUCUAAAGAUAUUACAACAAUUAAGGAAUAUGCGCCUUGCAUCUACUCUGUCAAUUUCAUAUCUCUUUUUUAUUUUCGUGUUCUGCUAUCGACGUCUAACAUGACAUCUCGUAAGGAGUGAAAUAUUUUUAUCAACUGAAUCAAAAUUUGAUCAAAAAGAGAGAGUUCUUUAUAGCUGCUCCAACAUGAUUGUUUCCUGAGUUUCAGGUAUUUUACUUUUGGACUUCUAAAACUCAUUUUAGUUUUUACAUCAGUUAAAAAUUUUGAAAAUUUUUGCUAGCCAAAUAUAUCGCUUCUGUUUUUUAAAGCUAGAUUUGGUGGUCUCAUGUGUUAAUUGGAGAUACGUAAAAUCAGUGCAUGCAUGGGCCCAAGUAGUGUUGUUGAGUUAACAUAUAUACCGGGCCAAUAUCCAAUUUAUAUGGUUGAAUUUAUGGGUAUUUAUUAUUCUUGUACUCUUAUUUCGACGUGUUAGUUAUAGUCUAAGAUUCACCUAACAAGUGAAAUACAACUUAUUAGCAUGUUUGCGUUACCUAGAAGUACAACAUAUGUACAAAUUUGUUGAAUAAAAGAAAUUCCACUAGGUACAACCUUAAAAUUAAUGAAAGAACAAAGAAGUAUUAUGUAUGUAUGGUGUAUCUGUUGAAUUAUGUGACAUCAUCAUUAUUUUUUGCUUAAACUUAGCUAAUAAAUUGUGAUAUUUUUAAUAUUUAUGUUCACCAGUACCGUUCAAGAAUAGAUGAAAAUAGCCUAUUGCUGAAUUAUACUAACAUCUCUCCAAUUGGCAAAAGAUAAAGAAUGUGUAAUCAAUGUUGAAAGGUAUGUAUGAAUUUCUCUUUUUUAUUUGGACGACAAAAAGGUACGAAUACACAAACUUAUCUGAAACGAAGACUAAAAAGAUACAUACGCUUUCGAUCUUGUGUGCAUGCUGAUAAGUUAGUUGUAAUGAAGGUCGAAAAUAAACGAAUAUUAUUAACUCUGAUCUCUUUUUCAAAAGUGGGUAAAUUAUUCUUGUAAUAUUUACCUUCUCUCUUUCAAAUUAGUACAUCUUUAUUUUGUUUUACCAGACAAAUAAGUUUGUUUGCUUUGCGUUCCUAAACUUAUAGCUAAAUGUUUUGUGGCAAUCUUUGUAUAUGAUUCUCCACACUAGAACCAUGUGGCAUUUAAAAUAAUGCUAUGCCCGCUUUGGAAAUACACGAGAACAGUAUCAGGUCGAAUUGAUUGAUUAGUUUUAUUGAUGUGAGAGAUUCAUAUUUUGUGAUCUAUAUAAAGCUUUUGAUGAUAUAUUUAUGUUCCUACUUACUUUGAUAAGUGAACAUAGUAUUGCUCAUGACAUCAAUAGAUAUGUUUGUUCUGAAAUUGUGCCAAUUAACGCUUGUAAAAAAAAAAAAAAUCCCACAAAUCAAGAUGUAGACAAUCCACAUUACCUUGUUAUUGUCAUGGUACUAUUUAAUAAUCUAUAGAAUAAUAAUAUUAAAUUUACCUUAAUUGCUUCAUUAAAAUAAUUAAUUGGGUACUAUUAGCACCCAAGGGAACACCUUACAAAAAUAAACCACAAGGCCAACUUGGAUUAGUGGGCCAUGGCCCACUAGCCAGCCUAUAAAGAGGCCACCCAAUCCACCACCAUAACCGUUCAUUGCGUUGGGCCUACUCUACAUCCCUACAAGGACACAAUUUAGUACAAUCCCGGUAAUAUAAAAUCAGAGCAAUGCUAUCUGUACACCUGCCUUAUAAGUCUAAGAUUUAUAUUUUAUGCUUUCUCAAAGAUUAGAAUAAACUCAGUUGUCAUAUUAUUAUUUUUUUUCUAAUACAAAAAAUUUUUAAAAAAAAAUCAUGGAUGCAAGAAGUGUAAAAUAUUCGCCCAAUAAAGAAUAUAGGGAUAAUAUUUUUUAUAAAAUUACAUGUGUACUUGGUAUUACCGUUUUAUCCUUUAAGCUAUUUUAAAUUACUAAAGGUGAAACUGUAUGGAGAUUCCCUCCACAAUGGUCUCUUUUGAAAUUAUUUUUAUUGUCCCUCCAUAAUUGAACGAUAUUGUCCUUACACGAUUAUUGAUGUGUUUGCAUUGCUAAUGUCCCAAACUUUGGUUGCUUAUAACACGUAAUCUAAAUAUAUUAUAUAAAUUUAUUAGCAUAUUAUUGAUAAUAUAUAAGGACAAUGUUUUGGAAAAUCAAAGCACCACCCAUUUCAAAAAUGCCCCCUCCAACUUAAUUUUUUCAAUCGCCCACACUUUCAAUUUAGUAAUUUUCAUUUGAAUGGUUUUAACUAUUUUAAGUUGACGAUUUUACUAUAUUCAACAGUAAUUUCGUUAAAGUUUAAUACUUUGACAUUUUUUUAGUGAAUAAAACUAUAACAAUCAACAAUCAAUAAACUUAAAAAACUGUUAAAUUUGACAAAAUUCUUUAACUCAACUACACAUAAUAACACAAAUUAAAAAAAUUAAAUUUAAAACAUUAAUAAAGGAUAAGUUUAUAUUUAUUAUUAUAUUAAUAUAUUCGAGAAUCUAUGCUAUGCUAUGCGUUUAAAUUGAAGGGCCAUUCGAAACAUUCCACGCGUCAGUUUCAGCGAACAUGGUGCUUCCGGGUUUGCAGAGGAUCCGGUGGGGAGGGGGGAAUGGGUGCGGCGGUGCACGGACUCGACCGAAACGGCGGACCCGAAGGGAGGGGCAAAACCGUCAUUUGAAAAACUCGGAGAGGGGUGGGGGGCAAUUUCGUCCUCGCGGGGACUAUUAAUGCCGGAACGCCGACCCCCUACAACACAUUUUCGACAUUUUCGCCGUUUCUCGUCGAGCGAAGUUCUCGGGGAAUUACCAUCCCUGUCCUUUCUCUCGAGCUCAUGCACACCACGAAGCCUCCCUUCGCUUGACCGACCCCACAACACCCCACCCCUCCCUUUUCCCUCUCUCUGUCUCUCUCUGUCUCUCUCUCUCUUACACACACACACAACGAAGAGAGAGAAAAGUAGAGAGAAAGAGAGAAUAGAGAGAGAGAGAGAGAGAGAUAGAGAGAGACGAAACCAGAGGAAGAGGAAGAGGAAGAGGAAGAGAGAGGGAGGGGGAAGGGGCGAAGGGGAGAGGCGGCGCCGUCGAUCGGGAUCAUCCAACGAAUCCCUCCUCCCCACCUUGGGAUCCUCUCUCUCCGCAUCGCCGAUCUCGUCCUCGAUCGAUCCCUUUCCGUAGCCGCAGCUGCGAUCCAUCCCGAUCUACCGCCGAUCCUAGUCGCUGAAUCGUCGUCUGAUGAUCUAUGGUAAGGCGAAUUGUUGUUUCCUCGGAUUUAGCAUCGAAUCGCUUCGAUUUCCGAUUUUUGGAUUGGCUUGAUUGUAGUUUGAACUCGAUUUUGAGUAGUUGCGUGGUCUAUUUCUGUGGUUGUUGCGGAGAUGGAUGCUCCGAUCCUGCUCGCGUUAUUUAAUUUAUAAAGUUAGUGGUAAUUGUUGCCCUCAGAAAAGUAGUAACUGGAGGAUCUCUACGAAGUGAAAUGGUGCACAAUUUUGCAGGUUUAAGAUGAUUAGGUGAUUAAACUAGCAGCGGCAAUUUAGUUGGAAUAUUCAUAACUUUCCAUUUGAAAAUUUCAGUUCUGGUGCAAUUUAAACGAUAGUAUAAGAAUCUUCUACUGGGGAAUUUGCUGUUAUAAGCCUUUACUUCUGGGGGAUAAGAUCUGUUGCGUAGCAUCAGCUCCUAUGUGGUGGGAAGUCCUUCUUUACAUAAUUUUUGCCAUGUGAAAUCACAGUUUAAGGCCCAUUCAUUCACGGGAUUUUGCAAAACUGGAGGCAAUUACGGGUGAGGCUUUUGGUUUAAUAAUCCUGAAAGUGAUGUGCUCCAUUUUUUUUUUCUUAGGAGUUUUCGAAUAGUCAUUUAGCAAAAUGCAAAAUAAAGGGCAAUGCUCUUCACCCUAAUUUUCAAAUUUUCAAACUUAUAAGAACUAUGCUUUUCUAUAUAUAUUGUAAGAGAUUGCUUUUCUAUAUAUGUUGUAAGAGAAUUAGCUAUUACUUCUCCAAUUCUGGGUCGAAGACUGACUAGUAGUUUUUGGUACAAAAAUUAACAACCAUCCAUUAGCAGGUAAUCCUGUGUUGCUUACUCUUUUUGUUUUUCAUUCUUAACAUGUUGUGUAUGGACAUCUUCUCUGACUAGUACGCUAUUUUUCAGGCAUCUACGGAUAACAUUAUCGUAGGCUCCCAUGUAUGGGUUGAAGAUGCAGAUUUAGCUUGGAUAGAUGGGGAGGUUUUCAAGAUCAGUGGUCACGAAGUCCAUGUGCAUACAACAAAUGGAAAAACAGUAAGUCCGGGCUAUUGGCUCUAUGCUCUAUUCUUUGUAUAGUGUAGAGUGUUACAACUCCUGAUUGUUGCAUCUUUUAUUGUACAGCACCUUUGCUUAGUGUUCUGCACUGUGGUAAAAGUUAUGCAUUGUUUUGUUUAUUUGUUGAUUAAUUUAGGAAAGAUAUAGACUGUAAAAGUCUAACUACAACUUUGGACAGAAGGCACAAGCCUCUUUUGGUUGAGUAUUUCAAGUUUUCUGCAGUCGUUUUUUUCUUUUCAAUUUUUGUGAAGUUCCCUAAAUGACACGCUCUGACGGAACAAGAGCUUCAUCCUUUAGUCUUCAUUAUGUUGGACAAGUUUCAUAUGCUUUGACAUAAUGAACUUUGUUUCUUAUGUGCUUCCCGUUCCCAGUUUUGGCAGCUUAAUCAUAAUAUCUUUCUUUCAUCCUUAUAUUGAAUUUUUGUAACCUUUUGCUCGGUGGAACAAGUGCGUCUAAUGUGUAUGAAUUUACAAUCUUAGGGAUAGGUAGGACAUUGGAAUAAUUCUUCAUUAGUGUUGAAAUUGAUCAAUUGCAUUUGAUAUGGUUACCCAAAAGGAUUCUCCAUUUGCAGAUAUCGGCAUUAUUGCCACCUGCAUGCGAUAGGCCUUUAUGUUGGUCUAACUAUAGAGUAUUUAAUUGUAUAACUCUGUAAAAAUUGCAAGAUUUUUGUGGUUGGCAAAUUUGAUUCUAUCUGGUUCUUGCCAACAGGUUGUUGCAGAUGUAUCAAAAGUGUUUCCCAAGGACACAGAAGCUCCACCUGGAGGAGUUGAUGACAUGACAAAGCUAUCAUAUUUGCAUGAACCCGGUGUUUUGCAAAACCUAGCCACUCGAUAUGAGCUGAAUGAAAUAUAUGUAAGGGGCUGCUUAUUUUAUACUUUUUUUUGACACUAAUACUUUUAUCAAAUGAAGUUCUGGAUUUUGACACUUGACGCUACUCUCUUGUGUUUUUCAGACUUACACGGGCAACAUCUUAAUCGCAAUAAACCCAUUUCAAAGGUUGCCUCAUCUUUAUGAUACCCAUAUGAUGGAACAGUACAAAGGCGCCGAUUUUGGGGAGUUAAGUCCUCAUGUUUUUGCGAUUGCUGAUGUUGCUUACAGGUGAUUAAUUGCACAGUUUUCUUGACUGAACCAUAUUUGAGCUGAACCUGCUUUAACACUAGUAUUUGAACAACAAAAAAAAAACAGGGCAAUGAUAAAUGAAGGGAAAAGCAAUUCUAUUUUGGUCAGUGGUGAAAGUGGUGCUGGUAAAACUGAGACAACAAAGAUGCUAAUGAGAUAUCUUGCUUACUUGGGUGGACGAUCUGGGACAGAAGGAAGGACUGUUGAGCAACAAGUUCUAGAAGUAAGAUAUGGACCUUUUCUUUUUAUGCUAUUUGUUAAGUAAUUACUUGCUUAAAUGUUUUGGUUGAUCCGUUUGCUCUGGUACGACAUUCAGUCUAAUCCAGUUCUUGAAGCUUUUGGGAAUGCAAAAACUGUUCGGAACAACAAUUCAAGGUAAGCUAUUGUUUAUUCUCAUUGUUUAAAACAGUUAGCUUUCUAUAACAUAGUUCCAUAAAGUGUAGAGUCAAGAAAGAUAUUUCCUGCCGUUUUCCAUACGCCAUUUCCAAUUAGCUGAUCAGUUUUCAUUUCUGUACAUGACACUGUGAUUAAGUCGGUUUGGUAAGUUUGUUGAGAUCCAAUUUGACAAAAGUGGACGGAUAUCCGGUGCUGCUAUUAGAACCUACUUGCUUGAAAGGUCUCGUGUUUGCCAAAUUAAUACUCCGGAAAGAAACUACCAUUGCUUCUACUUUCUUUGCGCUGCACCAGCUGAGGUAACUUCUUUCUGAUUCUUUGCUUAUUUUACUUCGGCUAGUUCAUUCUCCACCCUAUUUCAUUAAUAGUACAAGAUUAUCUUAUGAAGAUUAGUUACCGAUGAUGGAAUUCAUUUUUGUAGGAUAUCACAAAGUAUAAAUUGGGGGAUCCCAGAACAUUUCAUUACCUCAACCAGUCAGAUUGUAUUCAGGUCAGUGGAAUUAAUGAUGCUCAUGAAUAUCUAGCAACAAGAAGGGCCAUGGAUAUAGUUGGAAUCAACGAGCAUGAACAGGUUGGUGGCUGUCAGGUCAUUCAAUACUACUUGUUAGAAGUUCUUUACGACCACGUCAUUCCUUUUCCAUUCAUUGCUUCAGGAGGGUAUAUUUAGGGUUGUAGCCGCAAUACUUCAUAUAGGAAAUAUCGACUUUGAAAAGGGAACAGAAAUAGAUUCAUCUGUAAUAAAGGAUGAGAAAGCAAGGUUCCAUCUGAACACAGCAGCAGAACUUCUAAUGUAUGUCGAUUUCAUUCCAGCGCCAUAGGUCAUUUUUUUUCUGUAAUUUCCGAAAGCUAGAUGUUUGUAGUUUGUUAUUCAUGUAAUUCAUCAGCUAAUGUUUUUGCAGGUGUGAUAGCGAGAAACUAGAGAAAGCACUGAUAACACGUGUGAUAGUAACACCAGAAGAAGUUAUUACUAGAACGCUUGACCCUGCUUCUGCAAUUGUUAGCAGGGAUGGAUUAGCAAAAACAAUAUACUCCCGGUUGUUUGAUUGGUAAUGUGUUUGAUUAUAUAAGAUUAGCUCCUACACAAAUUAAAGAGUAUUUCGUUAUUGAUGCAAAGCAAGAAAUUUUAUGCUUGGUUGUACUGUCCACAGGCUGGUAGAUAAAAUUAAUGUGUCAAUUGGACAGGACCCAAACUCAAAACAACUUAUUGGAGUUCUUGAUAUCUAUGGCUUUGAAAGUUUCAAAAUUAACAGGUAGGCUACCCAAGAAAAGUAAUUACAUCCAAGAAGAUAUUAAUUGUUAAAAUUUUAGUAUCUCUUUAUCCUUAUGCUUGGGCUUUCAUGGGAAACAGUUUUGAGCAGUUAUGUAUCAAUUAUACAAAUGAAAAGCUGCAACAGCAUUUUAACCAGGUAUGCAUGAAAUAUGGAUUAUAUAAAAGUCUACUGUAAUCCUAAUAAUUGGUUUACUUUUGUAUAACAUUAACACGAUGUACCUACUUUGCAGCACGUCUUUAAAAUGGAGCAGGAGGAAUAUACUAGGGAGGAGAUUGAUUGGAGUUAUAUUGAGUUUGUUGAUAACCAAGAUGUGCUGGACCUGAUUGAGAAGGUAUAAUUAUAUUCCUCUUUUGUUAUAGUUGGAAACUGACUAUUAAUGAAUCUGAUGGAUGAAAACAGUGACUGGAAAAGCUAUAGGUAUUUAUUGCAAUUAAGUUUAGUGAUAUCUGUUAUUUGUAAUUUAUUACACUAAAAAGCUCAGUGGUUAGGCAACAAUUAUAUAAAUAGAGAAAAAAAUGAUUAGUAUUAUGCUACAAUUUUAAUGCCCUUCUGGUUCACACCCAAAUCGUGAGAAUAGAAUACAAAUACACACACACACACAUAUAUGCUUCUAAAAGCACAUGAAUAGUACCUACUGUUAACUUUUCUGUCAUUUGAUUCAUAAUAGUACCACCAUCAAAUAGUAAACUCUAGGCAUCCAAGGGUUAAAAAGUUGGGAGCAAGCACUAGUCAUGUGCUUCUAAAAGUAUUCUAGCCUACUACACACACACACACACACACACACACAUGUAUAUAUAUAUAUAGUUCACCUGCAAUACUAUUGAUAGUAAAUAAAUAGUGUUUACUAUCAAUUUUCUAGCCCUUGGAAUACUAUUGCACCUACCACCACUAAACCCUAGGUAUCUAAGGGCUAAAAAGUAGAUAGUAAACACUAUUCCUUUACUAUCAAAAAUAUUCUAGCUUCACUAUAUGUGUGUGUGUGUGUGUUGAUUUUAUCACCUUCUUGUACAAAUAAUAAUGGCAAAUUUACCCUAAUUCCGCUGUCCUUUUUUUCUUCUUUUACAGAAACCAGGUGGAAUUAUUGCACUUCUUGAUGAAGCCUGGUAAGUUUCAGUGUUCACUCUGCUAGUUUUUGUUCUUCUAUAUCCCUCUUAGGCCUAGUUUGUUAAUGUGGUGGCUAAAAGCAUCUAUUCUAUACUUAGAUUUAAAAAUUCCAAAGCGCUUUUAAUCUACCCUCUUUUUAUGCUAUAAAACUACGAUGGCAACUGUCACCAGAAAAGCAUGCAAGUGUAUGCUUCUCUGGCGGCAGUUGCCACCACAAUUUUAUAGCAUUGGAGAAGGAAAGAUCGGAAGUGCUUCAAAAUUUGUGGACCUUCUAAAGCAUAAAGUAGGUGCUUUUCGCCACCACAUUAGCAAACUAGGCCUUAGUUUACCAAUGUCAUAUAUUAUUGGUCAAAUUCAUUUGACACAUUCUCUUCCCAAGCUUACUACUGUCUCUGAUUUGUGUUGUCAGUAUGUUCCCGAGAUCAACACACGAGACAUUUGCUCAGAAAUUGUACCAAACAUUUAAAAACAACAAACGAUUUAUCAAACCGAAGCUUUCUCGUACAGCCUUUACAAUCUCACACUAUGCAGGGGAAGUAAGCAUUUAUAAACAUUUUUACACAUCUAUUUAUAUUGGUUUUACAUGAAUUAUGGUCAAAUUCCUCCUAAUCUUUAUAUCUUUGCAGGUAACAUACCAGGCUGAUCAAUUUCUAGACAAGAACAAAGAUUAUGUAGUGGCGGAAUAUCAGGACUUACUUAACGCUGCUAAAUGCCCUUUUGUAGCAGGAUUAUUUCCACCGCUUCCUGAAGAAACAUCAAAGUCCUCAAAAUUUUCCUCAAUUGGUGCACGCUUUAAAGUAAAAUGCUUUUAGUUUCCCAUUUUCAUAAUAUAAGUUUCUUUUAAUGGUUUUGAUAGGAUACUUAUUUUUAUAAACAUUAUUCUUUCCUUCCACUCCACCCUAUUUAUUUUUUUAGGCUUUCCUUUUGAUCCUGUUCAAAGUGAAUUUCUUCCAAUUAAUAUAGUAGUAUGUUUAAAGUAGUAUUUGAUUGUUUGCCAACAUGGGUAUAAUUACUUCUGCUGAUUGUAUUCAUGAUUAAAUAAAUUUCAGCUGCAACUUCAAGCCCUUAUGGAGACUUUGAGCUCUACUGAACCUCAUUACAUUAGAUGUGUGAAGCCUAACAACUUCCUCAAGCCAUCUAUAUUUGAGAACUUCAACAUUAUCCAACAAUUACGAUGUGGUGUAAGAAGCCAACAAUAUUUGCAUCGUUUUCAACAUUUUUCUAAGCAUCGCUUAUGGUCAUAUUGUUGAUAAAUUGAUUUAUUUAUACUUUUAGGGUGUUCUUGAAGCAAUUAGAAUUAGCUGUGCUGGAUAUCCUACAAGAAGAACAUUUUAUGAGUUUCUUCACCGGUUUGGUGUUCUAGCCCCAGAAAUUGUAGAAGCAAAGUAAGUCAGAUUAUAAAGUGCUAUGUUUCUCUUCAUCUUAUUUAUUGUAGUCAUUUUCUACUUGAUAUAUUUGGCACACUUUUCAGUUUUCACUCACUCUCUCUCUCUCUCUCUCGGUUCUGGAUAGCAAUGAUGACAAGAUAGCCUGCCAAAAGAUUUUGGAUAAAAUGGGACUAAAAGGUUACCAGGUAGGCCAGCUGUUAACAGAAUGCAUAAACUGUCUGAUGAUGUUUUAUUCUAGUAGAUAUUAUUCUAAAGGCUUUAAUAACAGAUAACAGAUUGACAGAACAUGCUAAUAUUGCUCUUUUUUGCUCUAUUCUCUUGCUUUAUACUGAUUUUGCUUUGAGAUGGCUUUUAUACUCUGAUGCAGCAUGGUUAAAGGAUUCACAUGAAUUUCUUUUCUCCUUCAUUUCUCUUAGUAACUUUGUUUCCAUAAUUUUGGAGCUGUUACAUUUUUUCUUGAAUCAGUUUUAACGUGUGUUUCUUUGCAUGUUAUUUUGAUGCUGGAACCUGUGUCUCUUACACUGGAUUACAUGAUUGGCCGUGGCAGAUUGGAAAAACCAAGGUGUUCCUGAGAGCUGGCCAGAUGGCUGAACUGGAUGCACGAAGAACAGAGGUGUUAGGACGGGCAGCCAGAGCUAUCCAGAGACGUAUUCGUACGUAUAUUGCCCGCAAGCAGUUCCUGACCCUAAGGAAAUCGGCUAUCUAUGUGCAAUCUUGUUGGAGAGGUAAAGUCAUAAAUUCUAGUUAAGGUGGAGAUUGGUCCUGUUAACAUCUUUUUUUAGAUUGGCCUAUAAAUGCCUGUUUGUCCUCACUGGUUGAACACCUUCCCUACUCCAGAAAGCAGAACUUUCCGGAAAUCAGGAAUUUGGCUAACAGAUAGGCUUGUGCUUUUGUUGUAGUGGGCAAGUAAAUAGAGCUUUUGGACCCUAAAUGCAGAAGAUUCAAUUUGAAGCUUCAGCUUCUUUUGCAGCAGGAAACUAUUUGGAGAUUUUAGCGACAAUGCUAUUAGUGCUUCUUUAAAUAACUCAAUUCAAAUGGCACUUCUUCAGAAACCACAGCCCUAAACAUGAUUGAUCUUUCCAGUGCAUCCCUAGCUAUCUCCUUAGUUGAAGCAAGGAUUCAUGAAACACGAUUAACAGGAGCUAUCAUGUGUUCUCCCUGAAUACUCUCUUUUUGGUUGAAUGUAGGACGGUUGGCUUGUAAGUUGUAUGAGUGCAUGAGACGGGAAGCAGCAGCAGUGAAAAUUCAGAAAAGUUUGCGGAGCCAUUUUGCACGCAAAGCUUAUUCCGAACUCCAAUCAUCUGCUAUUGCAUUGCAGACUGGAAUGCGUGCUAUGUCUGCUCGCAAUGAAUUUAGGUUCAGAAAGCAAACUAAAGCAGCAAUUCAUAUCCAGGUUUGCUUUUCUUCCAAUACAACGAAGCUGCUUCUUUUUGUUAUCUAUUUGAGUAAGCACGAUAGUUUCUGAUGUUCCAUUUAUUUGACUGCAGGCUCAAUGGCGUUGUCACAGAGAAUAUACAUAUUAUGAGAAGCUGAAGAAAGCAACACUCACUUAUCAAUGUGCUUGGAGACAAAGGCUUGCAAGGAGAGAGCUUAGGAAGCUCAGAAUGGUCCUUUUCCGUUCCUCGCUCUCAAUUUCCUGAUAUUUUUUCAGUUUUUGGACGAUGCUUUAAAGCUUUUUACACACAAAUACAGGCUGCAAGAGAGACAGGAGCACUCAAAGAGGCGAAAGAUAAACUUGAAAAGCGUGUGGAAGAGCUAACAUGGCGUUUAGGAUUGGAGAAACGAAUGAGAGUAAUUACUGUUCUCUAUGUUUGAUUCCUGUUGCUAUAUAUUCCGCCUGAUGUUUGAUGUCCUAUUAAACAAUAGCUGACUUUGAUUAUACUGAACUUUCCCUUUACUGAACAUGGUGUGGCCAAUUUGCAGACGGAUCUGGAAGAGGCAAAAGCGCAGGAAAUUGCUAAGCUACAGGAAAUGUUACAUGAGAUGCAACUACAAGUAGAAGAGGCAAAUGCUAUUGUUGUUAAGGAAAGAGAGGCAGCUAGAAAGGCUAUUGAAGAAGCACCUCCAGUGAUCAAAGAAACCCCUGUAUUAGUUGAAGACACAGAAAAGAUUAAUUCCUUAACGGCUGAAGUUGAACAGCUGAAGGUACCGUGAUCUAAGCUCUGCACAUUUUCACUAGUGUUGCUUUAUGUAAUUUAUUCUAUCUAGCAUAUAGCAUGCGGACCGAGUAGUGGAAGCUAUAGUGAUAUAUAAUCAGCUAAAUUUAUGUCAAUCAAUCAUGACACCUUGCAGUUAAUCCUCUUAAUGGCUUGUUCAAGCAUUUAUCUUUAUCCUUGGGGAUAAAAUGGUACAACUCUAUCAUAAUUUAGAUCAUAAUUCUAUUAAAAUAUUGGACAGAAAAAGGUUGCCUAAAAUAUGAUUUAAUAAUUUGAAGGUAUGUACUAAAUCUUUUCGCCAUUUUGCUAUCUUGGCAGGCUUUGGUGCAAGCAGAAAGACAAGCAACCGAAGAAGCGAAGAAAGCGCACGCUGAAGCUCAAGCAAGGGGUGAAGAGUUGCUUAAGAAGUUUGAAGAAGCUUCCAAAAAAAAUGAUCUGCUCCAAGAUACUGUUCAAAGGUUCUUGCUUUACAAUUUGCAGUUAUACAACUUUUAAAUCCUAAGAAUCAUUGGUUCUAUUAAAUGCUAAACAGAAACUGUGAUUUUAAAUUCUCAUUGUGAACCUUUAUUUCUACUUUACAAGUUAAUAGUUGUCAUCUUUCUCCCAAUAAACACAGGCUUGAAGAGAAAAACACCAAUCUGGAGUCAGAAAAUCAAGUACUUCGUCAACAGGCCGUUGUGAUUUCACCAACCGCCAGGUCAUUAGCUGCGAAUCCCAAAACCAUUUUGCAGGUACUCUUACAUCCCUGAGGGACUUGUUUUGUGUAAUACACAUUCAUCACUUUUUUUUUUCUUUUGAUAUGUAACGAUUUAUGUUACUAUACUGUUUCUUGACAGAGAACCCCAGAGAAUGGCAAUGUUGCAAACGGUGAGAUGAAACCAACACCGGUAUGUUCAAUCAGCAAUUCGAAUGAUUUCAGUGUCGCACAAAUUAAAAGUAUGGAAGUUGAAUUCUAAUCUUGAUAAUCAAUUGUAGGAUACUACUACUGCUUUACCUCUAAAAGAACUCGAAGCCGAAGAAAAACCGCAGAAAUCACUUAAUGAGAAGCAGCAGGUAUAUUAUUUAAUAUACUUAGUUGCCGUUUUUGUAUAGGAGUUAUACAUUGGUCCUUCUUGUACCAUAUGAGAUUUGUUUUGGCAAUUUGUCAUUGUUCAUGAACUUUGUGAUGCAGGAAAACCAGGACAUGCUGAUAAAGUGCAUUUCUCAAGAUCUAGGGUUUUCUGGUUGUCGACCUAUUGCUGCUUGUCUCAUAUACAAAUGUCUUCUUCACUGGAGAUCAUUUGAAGUUGAAAGGACCAGUGUAUUUGAUCGCAUUAUUCAAACAAUUGGCUCAGCAAUAGAGGUAUGGAACUGUCUGUGCCGUCAUGCUCAGAUUUGUCUUUUUAAUUUAGUUCUUAAAUUAGUUGAAUUUGUGGUAUCUUUCCAUGAAGACUCAGGAUAAUAGUGAUGUAUUAGCAUAUUGGUUAUCCAAUUCAUCCACGUUAUUGCUGCUCCUUCAACGGACGCUAAAAGCAAGCGGGGCAGCUAAUAUGAGUUCGCAGAGGCGGAGAUCAUCGGCUUCUUUGUUUGGCAGAAUGUCUUCGGUAAAAAAAGCAAAUUAUUUGUUCUCUUUUAUUUGGGUUUGUAAACAAGCAUAUAGGAACAAGGGUUGUUAGUUAUCAUCUAAUUGUUUACUUCUGUUACCAACUUAAGAUCCGAGCUUCUCCUCAAAGUGCUGGGCUUCCUUUUCUUGGUGGUCGCAUGAUUGGUGGACUAAAUGACUUGCGCCAAGUGGAAGCAAAGUAUCCAGCUCUGCUUUUCAAGCAGCAACUUACUGCUUUCCUGGAGAAGAUCUACGGGAUGAUAAGAGACAAUUUAAAGAAGGAGAUAUCACCACUCCUUGGUUUGUGUAUCCAGGUACUGCAAACAGCUCCACUGUUUUUCUUGACAAGAAAAAUGACAGAAAAGAUUUUGAUAGUUUUUCCUUUUAUUUAUUUUUUUUUCUGAAUAUUCUAUGGCUUUUUCUUGAGAGACUUUUCAAACUGUGUUUCAGGCCCCAAGAACAUCUCGUGCAAGCCUGGUUAAAGGAUCACGCUCUCAUGCAAGUGCCUUGGGCCAACAAACUUUGAUUGCACACUGGCAGAGCAUCGUGAAAAGCUUAACAAAUUGUUUGAAAACCUUAAAAGCCAAUUAUGUAUGUGAUAGGCUGUCAAAGAUUAAUGCUUGAAAUUGAAAUGUGGACUACAAAUUCUAAUGUUGCCAACUUUUCAGGUCCCUCCAUUCUUGGUCCGCAAGGUUUUCACCCAAGUAUUUUCAUUUAUAAAUGUCCAGUUGUUCAACAGGUACUUGGUUAUUCCUUCUAUACAUCUAUUACUGAUAACAGCUGAGUAGCUUACUAGUGCACAAUCAGGAUAUAGUAAUGCCUUAUUUCUUUAUUGUAGUCUCCUCCUCCGACGUGAAUGCUGUUCAUUUAGCAAUGGCGAAUAUGUCAAGGCAGGAUUGGCUGAGUUAGAACAUUGGUGCUAUGAUGCCACAGAAGAGGUAACUUACUAUUCUCUAGGAAAAACAAAACUAUUUUAUUUUAUUUUUUGUAGUUUACUGUUUGCUAAUAUAAUUUGAAUACAGUAUGCAGGUUCUGCCUGGGAAGAACUAAAACAUAUUAGGCAGGCUGUUGGAUUCCUGGUAUGUCAUAUUUAACCAGGAUACUAAAACUUAACUGAAUAUUGUUCUUUUCCACUAACAAAGCACACAAGUAUUAUUUACUACUAAGUUAAUGUUUCUUGAGAAAUAACCCGAAUCUUUUAACUCAUCAGGUAAUUCAUCAAAAGCCUAAGAAGACAUUGAAGGAGAUAACUAAUGACCUAUGUCCGGUAAGAAAACCAUUUUUGCUGACUUCUGUACUUGUUAAACUCACUUUAACUAUUGCAGAUGUAACUUUGGUUCAUCUUAUAAAUAACUCAGGUGCUUAGCAUACAACAGCUAUACAGAAUCAGCACCAUGUAUUGGGAUGACAAAUAUGGCACUCAUAGUGUUUCAUCAGAAGUAAGUCCGCUGUGCUUCAUUGUUGUAAUAUUCACUUGUAAUCCUUUUUAAUUUGUCACUAAAUGCUUUGGGGAAGGAACCGGCUGGAUAAAUUCUGUGUACAGAAACUUUACUCUUUCUAUUUUUAUGAAAUUUCUGAUUUCAUCCUCCUAUAGGUUAUUUCAAGUAUGAGAGUUAUGAUGACCGAGGACUCGAAUAAUGCGGUCAGCAGUUCUUUCUUGCUGGAUGAUGAUUCAAGGUACUUUAAAAGCACUCGUUUUCAUCAGUGUGUGUAGAUAUGUAAGAAUCAAGGUUUUGAAUUGCAUAUAUGAGUUCAGCUAUUGCACCCUUAUGAGUAUAGCCUCUCUCUCUCUCUCUCUCUCUCUCUCUCUCUAUAUAUAUAUAUAUAUAUAAAUGUAUGGUUAGAAUGAUGUGGGUUCCCUAGAGUUGAGUGAGUUAUUGGUUUAAUAAUAAAAUCUAACGGGUGAAAAUAGUCAAAGGGUUAAAUCUAACGAUGGAAAACUUGAUAGCACCAAACGCUUGGUGCUAUCGAUAGUAUCCCAGCCGGGCUCUAAUUAUGUGAAAUUCUUGCUUUUGGGAUGCAGCAUACCAUUCUCAGUGGACGAUAUCUCCAAAUCAAUGACGGACAUCGAGAUAGCUGAUGUCGACCCCCCACCUUUACUGCGGGAGAAUUCAGGCUUUGCAUUUUUGCUGCAGAGAAAGGAAUAGUGAGUCCCAUUUUUUGCUACGAUUGUGCCACCAUUCGACUCUCCUGCAACCUGUGCAUAAAAAAAAAAAAAGAAAAACAGAAAAAAAAAAGGAAGAAAAAUCUAAAGCUCGUUCCUUCUCCAUCAUGUAUAUACUAUAUCAUUCCUUUUCUACCCGAAUCAGCUAGUCAGCCACCAGGGUAUUCGAUAGAUUUCAUUAUUUAUUUUUUCCCUCUAGUUUUUGGAUUUGAUUGAUUGAUUUUUUUGGCCCUUUUUUGGUCAUGUUUGUGUUAUAUUUAAGUUGAUAAGCCGUAGUCCGACCGUGAGCUGCUAUUGGGAAAAGCUCAGGGUCGUUUUAGCCACUUAAAAGGGUUUUUUACAGCUGCUUAGUCAAGCAUUGUCUAGUAUUUUGUCUAAGUAUGUAUUGUAAAUUAUUAAAGCACCAGUAGUAGGGCCGAUUGAGGCCAGGCUUUGCCUUAUAUCCCACUGUUUCAAUGUAAUACACCUACUCAUGUUUGGCUGUGUUCUAAUUGAGGUUGUGUUUUGUUUUUGUAAAAAGCUAAUUUUUCGGUUCUUGCUGGUUUCAUUGUGCCAUUGUUUUCUCUUUACGCGCAGAAAUGUUCAAUAAUUUGUGUUGUUGAUCCGUUGCCGUGAUCUGUGCGAGGACAUUGCAGUAUUCUUUUUUUAAAAUAAUUUCCUUGGUUUUUUCUUCCAUCAUUCCUUCGCUUCAGUUUGAGAUAUUGCUAAUAUUAUUACGCUAUUGGAGAACUUUUGAUCGGGAUCGUACGCCAUUAUUAAGUUGCUGAUGGAGCCGAUUGCGAGACUCAGUUCUGAUCUGUAUCUAAUUGGAGUUUGUGGCAACAAUGCCCCUUUUUGUUCUUGUUUUUCUUGGGUGGUGGUGGCGCCCUGAUCGCUUGACCCACCUUUCUCUAGGCUAGCCCAGCCCUUUGAGACUAAACAGCAUAAUCCGAACCAUUUAUAUGUCAAAUUUAAGAUUACACACUUUUAGCAGCGGCACUACCCCAAUAUAUACAAGCAAAUGUAGAAAUUAUACCAUAAAACUUGUUACCUGCUUUGCCGAAAAUUUAACAUUAAUGACUAAGCCUGCAUAGUUGUGCAUAGUAGUAGUUUAAUUUCUCUCUCCUAUAUGCACAUUCGUGAUCCAGAGUUGAGAUAAUUUUUUUCUCGUGGAAAACUUCUGGGAUUUUUUUUUUUUUUUUUUUUUUUUUUUUUUUUUUUUUUUUUUUUUUUUUUUUUUUUUUUUUUGUGGUUUCUUGAGGGUUGGUUAUGGCCAGCUAGAGGAAUUUUGCCAGCUCAGCCUUCAUGAUUGUAGCUGAGGUUGCAUGGUGUUUCUUACUUGAAGGAUUUUGCCCUCAAUAACGAUGUGCAGUUCUUUAGUCUUAACCGGUAAUGUCACUUUUUUUAUGUGCCCACUGAUAUUUAAGCUGAGUGGCUCUGCAUAGGAUUAGUCACCUAAAAUAAUUCAGGCGAAUUUCCAUAAUCAAAAGCUCAAAAUUUUUCACAAGCAUCAAAUUAAUAAGAGAGUAAGCAUACUCAUGAUCUCCACCACCAAAUCAAGAGUAAAUAAUCAAAAUUGUUAUAUUAACAGACGGUUACUAGUUCCAGAAAACACACGAGGGAUUAAAAGCAUCGGCUUGUAUGUCUUGAAACAAAAUGGAUAGAGUUUUUUUGAGAAAAAGGUAGCGUGCUACCCGCUUCAUUCAUUCAGAAGGUGAAUUAAGCUAUAUGGGUGAGGCAUCAAGGCCUCAAAGGAGACGGAAACAAAGAAAAGACAGAUGGUGUUUACAGGUACAAAUAAUACCGCUAUGCUGUCAACAAGGCCUAUCUACCUACCUGUCUACCUACCGGUCAGAAUUUUCCACUGAGCCAUCAAGUAUUUGAUCUUAUGGGUCCCACGGAGAGGGUCCGCCUGGUCCUUUGAAAAAAUCGCUCCGUUCCUAAUCUCCCACACCACCCACCAGCAAGCAAUAAUACCACAUAACCCGUUAUUCAUGGGUUGUGUCCCCUUCCGACCUUUCCAAAUAUCCCAUAGCUGGUGGACGUCAACUCCCAAGUCUCCUGAUUGGACAUCUUCCAGUGACUUCACCAUAAGAAAUCUGAAGAACACGCACUGUGUAAAAAGGUGAUCAAUCGUUUCUAUUUCCGACCCACAAAGCACGCAACUCGUAUUCCCAAUCCAUCCUCUUUUUACCAAGUUGUCCAUAGUAAGUAUCUUUUUCUUAAGCACGAGCCAACAGAAAACCUUCACUUUAAGGGGUGGUUUCAUAAUGGAUUGAGUUCAUUGUAAUAUUAGAAGGUAAGAAGAGGUGGUUUCAUAAAAAUCCAAUGGACGAAGAUAGUAUAUGAGGUUUAAGAGGGCAAAUUAGAUGGCAAGCAUAGAUGUGGGACACUAAGGCCAACGCUAACGUAGUGAAGAGGUGCCAAAAAAACGUUUUGAGUGCGACGUACAACAAAUCCUCAUGUCUUUUUAUUUUAUCUACUACAUAUAAAUUUAUAAUAACUAUGGGUCCCCUUUGCUACGUAAUUGAAAUCAAUCGAGCUCGCCAACUAAACCGCGGGGCCACCACUUCCAAAAAGGUGCUCCACAGCUAUAUACAUAUACAGUGAUGGUGCAUAAUGUUCCUUCACUUUUAUUAUUUUGUUUUUUUUUUUUCUUGUUUUUUUUUCCCUCGUAUUUUUGUUGCAUUAGAUAGUGAUAAUUCAAGGAUGACGGUAUAAAUGUUGCUAAAGCAGAACAUGCAUCUCAAAAUUUUAGAAUAAAGAUUAAUUAUAAGAAACUAUCCGUCUGUCUCUAAAGCAAGUGGCAAAAGGUUUAGUGAUUGAUGUCUGAGGUUUUAAGUUCAAAACCUGAUAAUUUUAUAUUUUCAACUAAAUUUCUUUCUAUAAAGAAAUAAACAAGAUGGGUAACAUGCUAUUUUUCUCUUAAACAAAAAAAAUAAUCAUAAAAAAGCUUCCAAACAGAAACUAGAUAAUUUAAAUUUUUAUUAUAUCUAGUUGUUACUGACUUUGUGAUUUUAAUACCUACCUUUUAUUUCUCCGUUGAAGAUGCUUUUUUUGGUAUGUUACUUACGUGUGUUUUUACCUUUUCUAUCCUUAAGCAAUUAAUAUUCCAAUUUUACAAGCAAUGCCAAGGGCAAGGGGGCAGAACAAUAGCACCAAAAAGGCAAAAACUAGCCACCUAUUAGUUCGUAUUAACUGUACUAUAAUCUAUAGUGAUGAUCUACAACAACUUGUACUUAAAUCCUUUUUUUUUUUUUUUACUUUAAUAGUUAAUCUGCUUUUUACCACUCACAAGGAUAGUCUCAAUCUUGCCUCUCUCUUUUUUUUUCGCUUUUAUUUUUAAAAAAAUAUUAACAUAAUAACAACAACUCUGAAAUAUUUAAACUUAAUAACACCACUCAAUUGAGCCUACCAAACACAAGAAAUAUUUCACUUACACCAAACUCACCAACAACCUAAACCCCUUCACAUGGAGAGAUUAGUUGGCUCCCUUAAGUUGGGACAACAAAGUCACACUACUCGGAAGAAUAAGAUAACCUAAUAAUAAAGCAACAAGAUAAAUGCCAUAUAUUAUAUAUUUAUUAAUCACUAAUAUCUUUCUCACCACUCAUUUUAUUACAACAAAAGAACACAAAUUUUUUUUUUUCCUGCUUAAAUGAAUCAUGACAACAAUGCAUGCAUUUUCAUAUGUAUAUAUAAGUUUGCAAGCCCGGACCAUGUAAAAGUAAACCCAUGGGCUCUCUUCAUUUCUAACUCGACACAAAAUACACACGCACAAGCCACCAUUUUGUCAUUGUAGGUUUUCAUCUGUAUAAAACUUUUUUUUUUUUUUUUUUUUUUUGUAGUUUUUUUAUAGGUAUAGUGUCAGUAACAAAUACUAGAUAACAAAUCCAAUCCGGUAAUAAAUUCUCAAUCUGAAAAUGAAAAUUAAAAAAAUUAAGAUUAAAAAACAAAAUGUAAUCUCUUUUUUUUUGUUUUUUGAGUGAAAUUCCCAUUUUAUCCCUCGUCGGCGUCGACAAUGCGCGAGCGAGGGUUUAGGUACUGAUCGCGUCGGCGUCGUCGUCGUCGUCGAAGAUCCCUCCCACCAUCAUCAAAAACUCCUCCUCCUCCGCCGUCGCCGUCGCCGUCGCCGUCGCCGCCGCCGCCGACACCUCCUCUAAGCUGUGGUUUCGCCGGUGCUUCUCCCGGAUCGAGUGGAGCUUCUCCAGCUUCAGCCCCGCGCGGAAGCGCCGGAUGAACUUGUCCGCCUUCGUGUUCACGUCGGGGCUAGGGCAGAACCCCGGCGGCGGCGGCGAUGGGGGCGGCGGAGGCGGCGGUGGAGGGAGCGGAGAUGGAGGGGGGAGCGGGUACCUGGCGAGGAGGGCGCGAUCUAUUCUCUGAUGAGAGUGCGACGAUCGAGGUUGGGAGAGUUGGUGCUUCGACGAUCUGAGCGUUUGUGGCGGAGGCGGAGGAGGCGGUGGUGGGGGAGUGAUGGGGAUCUGCUGUUUUCUGGAUCGCCGUGAGGUCGUAGGCGGUGGUGGAGGAGGCGGCGGCGGCGGCGGUGGAGGAGAAGGUGGAGCGGCGGAGAUCGAGUAGAUCCUAUGGCUCUUGCUUCCCCCAUUCUUGCUGGAGAAGAGAUGGUGGAGCACAGAGGAAGGGGGCGGCGGAGGAGGAGGAGGAGGAGGAGGAGAAGCGGAUGCAUUGGAAGGGGGAGGUGAGAUCUCGCGUUGUUUCCUCUUCGUUUUGGUGCUUCUCUUCUUCUUCUUCUGGUAGAAUAGAGCUAUGGCGGAGGCGAGAUCCUUCGCCCCGCCCAUGCUCCCGCUCCUCUUCCUACGGCUCCGCCGCUCCUCCUCCUCCUCCUCCGCCAUUGGCGGCGGCGGCGGCGGAGGAGGAGGUGGCGUACGAUGCUUCUUCUCUUCCACCGGAGCUGCUUCUCUCUCCUCCGCCUCCGCCAUCUUCGGAAGCUUCUCGGCGCUCCUAGUCCUCCUCCUCCUCCUCCUCAUCACCGGCGGCGGCGGAGGCGGCGGAGGCGCCGGCGGCGCCGCCGUGGGGCUCGGCGCCUCCUCUUCCACUGUAAGCUCUUGUUCUCUCUCCUCCUCCACCAUCAUAGGAAGCUUCUCGACGCUCCUCUUCCUCCUCACCUCCGGUGGCGGCGGCGGCGGAGAUGGGGAUCUCGGCGGGCUCCUCCUCCGGAGCACGAAGGUGUCCACCGGAAUAGUCUUGGGCAGCGCAUCCUCGUUCUCCCCAUCCCUAUUCCACUCCGAUCUCCGCCCCCGAUACAGCUGCGCAUCGUCGUAGAACCGCCACUGCGCGCCCCACCCCGCCGGCCCCGGCCCCUCCUCCUCGUGCCUCAGAUCCGGGUACGAGCUACUGCUCCUCAUCCGCCCGAUCCCCACCGCCCGUUCCGCCUCCCCCUGUCUCGCCCGUGCCGUCGUCGGGUUCGCGUACCCGACCCACUCCCCCGCCCCGGCGCUCCUCCUCGUCGGCGAAUUCUCAUUCCCAUUCUCCUCCCCGCCACCACCGCCGCGGCUGAGGACGCCGCAGAGGAUCGCGAACACGACGAGGGCGAGGUUGAGGACGUCCCAGCCGUUCCUGAAUGCGAGGCUGGGGCUGGGGCCGCGGCCGCGGAGGGAGGAGGAGGAGAAUAAGGAGGGGAGGAAUAAGAGGGUGAACAGGGAUAGUAAGAGGACCAGUAUCCACGGCCUUAUUCCGGAGGAAGAGGCAGAAGAAGAAGAAGAAGAAGAUGAUGAUGAAGUACGAGUCCAAAAGGGAGGGGACUGCUCUCUUUCUCCCUCCAUUCCUCUCACAAAAGCUCCCCUUUUUUCCCCUCUUUCUUUUGUCCAAAUUGGAGGGGGCGAUCGAUAUCGGAGAAACCAAGCAAAUUAAGCCUCGGUGGAAGGUAUGAUUCUACUUCUAUACUUUCUCUCUCUUAUUCUCUGCUUUAUUCCUCCCUCUCCUUUGCUGCUUUGUGUUUAACUAUGUUGAUGAUGAUAGGUUUUGCUUUUGUAGUAGGGGUGGGGUUUUGAUGAUUGAAUAGAAGUGUGGAAUGUGGGUAUUAAAUAGUUUGGUAUACUAUUUAUUUGUUUUAGGAACUUUAGAGAGACGGAUCGAUAGGAAGAGUCGAAGAAAUUGAUGGGUCCCGUAGGAAACGAACGAGAGUCCUUUUUUUAAGUGUAGUGUAAGCCUUUCCCACUAGUAAUUAUCUAUUUCUUUAGUCGUAUAAAUGACUUACAUAAGGUUAGCUAAUGAUUUGGACACCACCAAAAAGCGCGUCACUUUCUUGCACUGGAAUAUCCCUCUCAUUACAGGAUCCAAUGAGUUUUUGGUAGAAUCACUAUUGAAUUAUCUCUGACCGCAAGAAACAUCGGUAAAAACUUGCUUUUGUAACCUAAUGAGAUGGAUGAGAGGAAUCCAAGGAUAAGGUUGUAAUUGAAGAUGUUUACCUGGAAGAAAAUGACCUUUGGCUUGCUUCGCUUUCCUGUAGCCAUCUACUUUUCUCUUUUUUUUUUCCCCCCUGCAGGUGGUCCACAAGACAAUGCAUUUCCAUUAGUUUGAAAAGGACCUUUAUUAGUUUGUGUAUCACGAGCUAGUUUGUACAAUGAGUAACAGAUACUAGUUGAUUCUUUCAUUAGGAAUGAUGAUAAUGAGUCGGGUCAACUUUGAUAGUAGUGUUGUCAUUUUAAGAGGCUGUUUUGUUAGCUGCAUCCAUUUAGUAGAUCCGAUAUUGAUCCAGCUAUUACUAUUUCGCCUAUUCUUGCAAAAAUAGGAAAAAUAAUGAGUAGGGUGGUGGUACAUUUCAGUAGUCCAAUUAAUGACUGGACGAUUUAGGUUUCAGAUCAGCUCGUAGCCAAAAAUAAAAAAGAUAAAAAAAUGGUGGAGUGUGGUAAACAAAGCGUUGAUUGGGGACCACGCAACAAGUCUCUCAUUAGUCUUCUAUUUUUAUUUUGUUAUGUGUUUCCUUCCAUCUUUGUGGUGUCGUCCACGCGGAUGAAAGCCGUCGCUUCUUCCGCGGCGUCUUCGUUGGCGUGUCUUGCAUUGACGGGUUUACUUCGCUUUGGGGUCUGAUUGUCUUAUGAAAAUGUGAAGUUUAGGUUGAGGUUUGGAUUAAGACAUGUUUGAUUAUUUGAAAGUGACUAAACUGGUGAACUAGAGUUCAAAUAGAAAUUUUUUUUAUUUCGUUAUUCAUUUGUGUAGCUGCAAAACUGAAGUUUUGUUCGGUUAUGUUGUUUGUUUGGCAAAAAAUAAUAAGUUAAUAUUUUAUAAAAAAAAAUGGUAAUUAAUUUCGGGCUGGCAUGGUUCCUAAGCUGUAGUCUAUUAUACUAUUCUUGAAAAUUUUGAGUUUUGACUAUAAAUGACGUUACGGUGAAGUGAACAAUAAAAAUAGAUAUUUAUGAUAAAAAAUUAUUUCAUUUCUUUUCACUCUCAGUAUAAAAUAAACAUAUCCUUAAUCACCUAGUCAAACUAUAUAUCUGGGUAAAUACACGUGUCAAACUAUAUAUCUGAGUUGAUACACGUGUGUGACAUAAGCUGAAACUACUAAAGGGUUAUGACUAUCCGGCGCCUAUUUCACCUUCUAACUGUCCGUGUUGACCUAGUAUUUUCUGAUCCGGUGUGAAUCACUUUCGUGUUCAUCAAAAGCAUUUGGCCGGUGCGUGCGUGUGAGUUGUUUUGGGUUUUCGUAAAUGUGAAACUGUAAACCAAAAAUAGCAAUGUCAAGCUUCUGAGUUUAGCUACAUCGGUGGCGGUCUGAAAUUAAAUGUCUCUCUGUAGAAGUUCUUCUUAAAAAGCACUUCACUGAGGAACGAACGCUACACCAUGACAGCUAAAAACACUAAUUUAGAUUUGAUAUCUUAGCUGAGUUAUAAAUUGAAUAUCUCACUCUAUUUUCAUAUUAAAAUCAAAUUUACUAAAUAUACUUGUGGGUACCACAUUGGACGCUCCAAGCUACACUUACAAAAAUGAACAAAUAGAUAAAGGCACUUAAAACACGACUAUGCAGCAGUGAGGCCAUGAUUAGCUAGCGUGCUCAGAAUUAAUUAAUGCUUAAGAAUGGAUGGGUAAUUAAACACGUCACCUAUCAUAAGAUGCUUCGAUGACACGCACACCCACCCACUGGAACUGCUGGGUCGCAGCCUCGCAGAUGUUGCUGUAUGAUGAGACUGCAUAGAACUUUUCUGGAUGAUGGAGCCACCGUGGCAUAUGACUUAGGGUUUGGGCAAGCAGAAGAGAAGCCGGACACGGCCGGUUCAAGAACACACGAUUAUUCCAUGGACCGCCAUAAUCCACAAACCGGGAACUUCAAAAAUUAAGCUUAGUCUUGAAACUAAUAUAAACUGUUAAAAAUGAGACAUAAUCUCCAAUUUUCGCCAGCUUUACCGGCAACAUAAAUUGUCAAUUGAAUCUUCACCAAAACGAAUGUAAAAUGAGCUGUCCGAUCUCUCCCAGAAAAUGACAUAGUAAUAGAACUAAUUAGCUCAUAAACAGUGUCCCAAAUAUAAAAUUUAUCCAACACAAAAUUUCCUUCGAUUUAUAAUCUGCUAAAACUUCGAUAUGCAGCAGCAUGCUGAUCCCCUUUGCAUGCACCCGUGAAAUAAACAAGCUAAGUUUCGCAAGUUGAUUAAAUCGGCAACAUUUCUGAUAUGGAGUAGGCAUGGAAGCAUAGAAUUCCAACAAAAAAAUUAUAAACCUCAGAUGGUAAUACUAUUCACGCCGAUUUUUUGUGAGGAAUUUCAUCUCUGGUCCCCAAAAAACAUCAUGAUUCUCCCCCCUCUCCCACCAACUUAAUAUGCUUCUUAUCAAUUGAAAAACGGGAACUCGUACUUAUCUGCAAUCAGUAAUAAAUCAGAAACUAAUUACCAAUUGUAAAUAAAACAAAAAAAGAAAAAUCUCUGUAUUUUUCGUGAUGAAUACCUUGUCCAUCAACAGCUCAUGAAGAUGCUCCUUGUCGUCAGUUAGACCAGAUUCCCGAAGUUCCUUCACCACAAGCUUUUGUAACUUUUUAAUCUUCAUACACUGAUCCGGAUUCUGCCAUAAACAGCACAUAAGCAAGGUUAAUGCCACCAAUUGAACAUUUAAAACUUUAACUGAAUGAAAAAAAAAAAAACUGUCUCUCCCAGAGAGUGAUCUGAUAGAAAACAGUACUCGAAUACGUCGUUGACAAGAAGUGCCCCAAUAGUGCAAAUGAGAGACUUCACACAUUAAAUAUUCGAUCUUGUGAAGGUUUUGUAUGAGAAAAAGUGCUUUGGCUAUAACAAAAGACUUAAAAAACUUGGCCCUAAUUUGGUAAUGUGGUGGCUAAAAGUACCAUUGUCAUGCUAUAAAAAGUCCGAAAUUUUAAAAAUACUUUCAAUCUUUUUUUAUAUUAUAAAAUCGCAAUUGCAACACCAGAGAAGCAUGUAGCCACAUGUUUCUUCGGUUGCAGUUGCUACCAUAAUUUUAAAGCAUCGGAGGAAAGAAUAUUGUAAGGCUUUCAGAUUUUUUGGACCUUCUAUAAUAUAAAAAUGAUACUUUUAGGCACCACGUUAUGAAAAUAGGCCUUACUCUAACUUAGUAAAGGGAUCUCAAAUAGAGGUUCAGAUAGAAAAUCCACAACUAUGAAAUCAAAGGCCAAGCAUAUCAGAUUGAAGCAUAGGGCAAGAAGCGUAACCAGAAAAGACUACUUUGCAUCCAUGAUUGUCAACAAAGUGGCAACCACAAGAGCAACACAAGACAAAAUGGGAUAGAAAUAACUGCACUAACAAAAUGUAUGAAUCAUUGAUUAACCAAUGCUUUCUGUACUAGACAUGCUUACCGACUUCAAGAUUGAAGUGGCGAUCUUUUUCCACUUGAAUUUAUGCUUCGUAAUUUCCUUACUUUCCUCCUGUUUAUCUUCAUGAUCUUUACGCUUCUUUGGUUUUUUCGACUCUCCAGCUUGAAUCACUUCCCCAUUGUUCAAGCCACACAAAUUUUGUCUCUCCACAUUUUUGUCCAUAUCUCGAUCUGAUUCUUUAUCUUCUCUCUUUCUUUUUGUGGUGCUCUCCUUUUCUUUUGGGACCAACACUUUUUCCUCAUGUUCUUCAAUCUUCUCAAGACCAUUUGGCUUAAAAGAAUCACUGCUAGGAACAUAACUUUGUAUUCCUUUCUCAUUUGCAGCUGAAUCUACAGCAUUAGAUUGUUUUUGUGAAGCAUGAAAAGCUCGUGCUUUUGCUCUGUGCUUCUUGCCCUCCGCAUGCAGCAGUAAAGUUUGCUUGCUAGUAGUGGUUGUAUUGCAAAGACUGCAAAUGCAAAUACAGCAGCAGAUAGAGAAACCAAAAUCAGUAUCGUUUUCAAUUAAGAAAGCAGUAAAAAACAGAUGGCAACACUCUCUUUAACGUUUAAGUUAAUAGCACUCUCGUUAUGACAAGAACCAAAAUACUAAUUCUAAGGGCCUGCUUAAUAUCUGCUUAAUAUCUAUGAAUCGGCACGACAUAAAUAAUUAUCAAUGUGAAUUGUAAGAGCAAGCGGCUUACAAGUGGCUUAUUAACACUUCUCAUGCUUCGGGAAAGCUAAAUCCAGCUAUUUUUACAAAACAUUGAAAAAAAAUGUGGAAUACAAGGAAAGGCGUCAACGUUCUCUGUAUUUUGGAAACAGUAAUUUCACUUGCAAGCUAAAGAAUAUACAAGAUAUGGAAGAUUCUAGUGAGAAAACACAAAAAAGUAAUUUCAUGGCACCGGAUCUCCUCAACUAUUUGUUUUAGCUGCAGAACCCAAGCAGCCAAAUCAAAUCCUAGAUCCCCGAACUAAGUCCUAAGAAAGAAAUACCCAUUCAAUAUAUCAAAUCUAUGAAGUAAGAAAGAAAGGCAAGGGAUCUUAAAAAGCUCCCCUAAAACAAUUAUAUGCUUGACUACACUAGUAAAAUAGGGAAAAUGAGAAACGUGUCCAAUUAUUGGGAAAUGUAAAGGAAGAAGGUUAUAAAUGCGUAUAGUAAAAGGCUAUAGUCCAUGACGCUAAUUUUGUGUCAACUUUAUGAUUAUUAUCACAAUCAAUUACAAAAUUGCUUUAAUUAGUUGGUCCAGGAAAAGUAGUACAGUCCCAAACAGUAAUUGGAAAGAUUUUUAGCGUCCAUUUCUAUGCAAAAUGGGCAAGAAGUUCAUUAAAGAAUAUUCUACAUAAGCUUUUAUUCUGUAGGUUGUUGUAGGAUGUGCUAUCAAGCUUACCUACAAAACCAAGGAGGAUGUGAAGAUAAACCAACAUUUAUGUCAACAUCUGCAUUUUGCUUAGGCUUGUCGGGCUUAGCUUGCGUGGUAUGUGAAGCUCUACCUUGAUCCUUGGGACCAUAUUUCUCCUGAAAGCAGUUAUAAGUGAGAUAGCUGCGUCAUGAGCUAAAAAGUACUGCAACAACUAUACAUUGAUGCAAAGGAGGGGGGGGGGUACAAAAAGUAAAACAAUGUGUCAUAAUUACUCAUAAUAUCAGCACAUCCACUUAGGAGUGGCAUAUCAUUCAUCCGCAAAAAUCUAUAACUGUUGUAUUAUAAACUUGAAUACAUAGAGAAAUAAUACAAAAGCCCGAAAAGAAUCCACUACAGAGAUCCAACAUUCAAAAGUCUCAGUAAUCCAUGAUAUUCAUCAUUUAGACUAGGAAAACUUUGGCCAUCUUACCAGGCCAUAGUGUUAAGUAUUUAACAAAAGAGAUAUGAGCUAAAAAUUUUACGUCUCAUUGUGCGUUUCUAGAAAUUUUGAAGCACCUUCUUUCUAGAACAACAGCAUUUAAGAUAAUACGAUCAAAAUCUGUGGAUUGAGUACAAAUCAUAGAAUACAUCAUUAAACACCAAAAAUCUAGGGUAUCACAAGCUGCUGAGCACUGGAAACAGGCCUACAUAGCUUUUGAAACAAGCUACUUCAUGAUCGUGUUCCUCAACAGCACUAAUACCAUCAAAACCAAUACCAAACGCCAAAAUUAGAGAAAUAUCACAAGGCAUCGACACGAACCGCUUCGGAGAUGCACUGGGUGUGGCUCUGAACGCUCUGUUGGCUGAAGAUCUCCCCGCAAUCGAUGCACGAGAGCUGUGGAGGAGAGCACAGUGCGAAUUAGGGCUUCAAACUAAAGAAAUCGAGAGAAUUGGGGACGACGGAUCGAUCAGAGAGAGAGAGCGAGAGAUGGGAGCUUCUCUACCUUGUAAGCGGAGCAGAUGCGGAAAUGGUUGGGGAGCUUCGGCUUCUUCAGGUUCUCACCACAAUCCUCGCACUGGAACCACACCAUCCUCUCUCUCUCUCUCUCUCAAAAGCGGCGGGGUUCAGAAGCGAAUUAGGGUUUUAAAACGGAGGGGACGAGAGAGGUGAACAACAAUGCUUCCCGAAACCUCUCGGGGUUGAACCAGUAAAUACGUAUGCGUUGGACAGCAGAGAGCGCAAUUGCGGAGUGGGCCUACUUACUGGGCUGAUGAAUUGAAUAUGGGCCAUAUACCCAAAGUUUCACUUGGCCCACUUGGGAUUCGUUUAGCUUUUCUUUUGUAGGUUGUUUUUUUUUUUUUUGUUAAUUGUUCAAUUAAAAGAUUCAAGCCCAGUAUGACAGAUGUGGGGACCUGUUGUAGGAUCCAACUGUUCUGAAGUUAUGAAGAAGUGAAUCCACGACAACCACAAACACUAUUCAAUUUAUGUUUCAAUACAAGUACUUGAGAAGAUCCCUUAAAAUGAGGUCGUAGAUUCAGGGCAUCUGAGUCGAAUAUUGAGUCUUACAUGCUUGCUCACUUAGCCAUAUUAUCACACUGCAAAGCUAAAUGAUUAACUACAUUUUUGAAUAUAUUCAAUGAGAGUUGAACUAGAAUACCUUUUGUUAUACUCGUGGAAUCAGUUCUACGAUCUCUUCAUUGACCUCUUGGUAAGCUAGAAUGUUAACUUGUAUCACGAACAAGCGAAAAUAGCACGUAUGUAUCUCAAAACCGAUUCAACAUGCAAAAACAGAAGCAUCGAUUGUUUCACUAGUUGAUGUUCCCUCGAGAGCCCACUCUAGAAAAGCCAUUCAUGUAUUUCAUGUUUCAACAGCAUCAGUACAGUAAACAACAAAAAAGGAGGAGGAAGUCUAAAAGUGUUAAACAAAAAAAGAACACCUCACAGAGCCUUCAAACUCGGAGGCGAACGCGGCGGAUACUAUAAAGCGGAUCAACAAAGUCAAAAUAGUCGUUACAUAACACCAUUUUUUUUGUUUUUUAAACUCUACAAGCUCAACAUAUACAUAGCCAGUAGCUGGCCCAGUUAAAAAAAGAACGAAACUGCUAAGAUCAGAGCACCAGCAUCUUGAAGCAUAAGGCAAGAGUUGGCCUGCAGAGCAGAAUCAGUAUACAACACAAUACAUUACUUGAGGCCCAUCGGGCGAAAUAAAUAUGAGGGCCUAUUAAGGCAUGCGUAACUCAGUAAAACUAAUCAUUAAACUGCAGUAAACUAUAAUCAUAUUGCUUUCUAACCUAUAUAUCAUCAAUGAUAUUAAUUUCAGACCUGGACCUGGCAGGGUUAUAUUUUGGCCUUAAACUUCCGCUGGGCUUUGAGGUCGACAACAAUCACGGUGAUGUUGUCCUUGCUUCCUUUUUGGAGAGCAAGCUUUGAGAGGCAGUCGGCUGCUGAUUGGGCAGCGGGGUCUGUGAAGUCGCCCCCUCUCUGUUGAGUUGAGGAAGAAGAAGAAGAAGAAGAAGACGAAGAAGAAGAAGAGACGCCAUUCUUUUUGUGCCAUACGAGAAGCCUCUUGCGCGCAACAUCGCACGCUUCUUCAUUUGAUAUGACAUCCCAUAGACCGUCACUAGCUAGAAUAAGACACUCAUCGUCCUUUGCACGAGGAAUAAUUGUGACUUCGGGUACUGGAAUUAUCCAUGGUUUUAGGUAUCUGUCUCCUGCAGUUAAAGAAGAAAUUUAUCUGUCAGGAUGGAUAUGUCUAUAGCAGUAAAUAGUACACUAGCAGCGACAAUCGAUAAUUACGUAGAGAAAGACACGUCGCCGUAAUUCUGCUUUAUAUUAUGAGUUUGGGAUAAUUGCACAAGAGAUUCGCAUACGUACAGAGAUGGACUGGGAGCUCGGAUAGGUGAAACUGAAAUUAACAUAGCAUGUUAGUGCCUAGCGGAAAUAACUUAACAAGCUAAACAUGAUCGAAAACCAAUGAAAAGCAUACAAAGAACAGGGAAAGGAUCAGUAGCUCAAGUAGGUAAAAUUAAAAAUCACGGUACAAUUGGAAAUAAGUUGGCAGUUGUGCACUAAUUAACACCUCGUGUGUUCUCUAUUGAAUUGUACUAUCUUUCAGCAGCAGGCAGCAGAAGUACGACCAAAACAAAGCAUUGUGUAGCUCGGUGAUCAAGGUAAACCUUAUAUCAUUAAAACCAUAAUAAUCUAGUUGUACAACCAAGCAUGUCCAACAACAGGGAAAAGUCAUAAUUCCUAAUCAAUGCUCAAACGUGACGAUGUUAAACCAACAAUUAUUCUACCAUGUUGGAUGACUGAGUGAUGCACGCACCUAUUGUCAAACACUUUAAAAGUCUGUCUUAAAGUAGCUAUUCGAUUACAUAAUACGUCCUAAUGAAUGAGCCAAAAACUUUGAAAGUCUGUUUUUUAUAACUUUUCUCCCAGGAUCAAAGAUCAGAACAAAAUACAAACUGCCUAUAAAGAGCGGCAUUAAGUACACCUUCAGUCUAAAUACAUUCUAAUGAAUAUUUUGAUAAGGCAGUUCUGGUGUCAAAGAAUGAUCUUAGGACUGCAAGUGAAUCUAAUCACAACUAUAUUCAUGAUUGGCAAAAGACAUGCAUAAAAGUUGAUUUUUUGGAACUGUUAAGCAAAAAUUUGACUGCGCAAUCAGAUGCUCAAAGUGGUUACUGUUCCACACGGUGAGCUCCUCAGACAUCUUUUGCAUUUCACUGCUUUUCGUCAUAUAGAUUUCAUUGCCAUAACAUCUCUGGCCUCCUAGGAUAGUUUUCCUUGGCAAUGUAGUUUUCAAGCAAUUCACGAUGGUAUAGGGACAUAAACACCUAAUUUUUAAAACGGCAACUUAUUCCUCAGAUUCACACUUGCCAGAGUAAACUGUUAUCAUCCACAGCUUCGCAUUAACUAUACGAACCUUUUGCUGCUGUAAACCACCUAUGCCAUCCGUAGAGUCUUGCAUAGUAAAGUUGCAAGAUUAUCGUAUUGUUAUUUUCUAUGAUUGUGAAAAAGUUUCCAGCUAUCUAGUUUAACACUACAUGCCCUUCAUUAGACAAAAAUGUGCUUCUAUCAUCAAAAUGUACAUUUACACUAAACAGCGUACAUAUGUAACAAGCAACAUCGGUUCAGACAUCUUGUAAUAACUGGCAAAAUGAGAUCUUUCCUACUUGCAUUGCCAAUGGGCAGCUCCCUGAAAAGAGAAAGCACUCACCAAUUGAACGUGACAUCGCGAGAACACCAAAUACACGAUAUCCAUUCCACUGUAUGACCUUGCCCCCACCUGCUUCAAUCCUUGCGUACUCAUCUUCUCUGUUAGGCUAAGAAAACAUAUAGCAACAACUUUUUUCAUCACAAACUACAAGCAGAUGGUUUUAAUACGGCGUAUGAUCAAAAGCCUUACUUUAUGAUCAACCGAUAGAGGCACGGGUUGCUUGCCGCGGCAAAGAACAGCUCGCGAAUCCCCACAGUUUGCGACGAUAAUGUGCGAAGAGCAAAUAACAGCAACGACAGCUGUCGAUCCCACAGUCUCCGGCGCAACAGGUUCCGACGGCCCUUCUCCGAUUCCAUCGGAAUCCUCCUCCAUACUUUGAGCAUUCGCUCUCCUCGCUUUCCCUCCGACCUCAUCAUCUACCUUCUCAAAGCAAUCGACGAAGGCCCUCUCCCACUGCUUCUUAAAAUCGACGACAGGAUCUGUUCCUAAACCUUCAUCUAUACUGCUCAGCUCCUCGACCAAUGCGACAUGAAUUCGAUCGCGACAAUAGUUAGCCACCUGAGAGUAGAUAACAUGAUCGAGUCAAAAAAAAGAAAAUUUGCAAAAGCAGCUAAAAAGGGGAGAGGAGGAGGAAGGGGAGUCCAACCUGGGCACCACCGUGGCCGUCGUAGACUCCGAAGAAAUGGGCGGGCAAUCGAAACGAGCAGGGAUCCAGCCCGUCGACGGCAUCGCUGGUCAGCAAGCGAAGCGGUAUAUCGAAGAACCGAGGCGCGGCCACGACGGCAUCCUCCAUCUCCGGCCUCCGCCCGCAGAUCGACGUGCAGCCCCAAAGCGGCACGUAAUCGAGCAGGAACACGCUGCGCACGCCGCCGCCCGCUCGGCAAGUAGCCGGCUCCACCACAGCAGGGGCCGAGACAUCAUUCUCGCCCCCGAUCGCCAUAGUAUCACCGCUACUCUCACCAACAGCUUUGGCUGCGGCAUCUGCGAUCUCACAAAAGGGCGUGUCCGAAUUCAGCAGCUCCUCAGCUACGCUGCUCGAAUCGCUAGCAAUCGAGCAGGGGCUCUCGGCGGAGAGCUCGGGCCCGAUCGACGCGGCAUCGUCGUCGUCGUCGUCGUCAUCGCUCCCGGCGAUCGACCGCAAUUCGACGUCCUCCGCAGCGGCGGCGGCGGUCGCCGGGGAGGGAUCGGGCGCGGGAUCGGGAUCGGGGGGCAACAAGGCGGCGGCAUCGGUGAUGAGCUUGAGGCGGGCGAUCUCCAUGGGGUUUUCGAGGAGAGGAGCGGGGAAAAGGGCGGGGGCGGCGGGGGACAACUCCUCCAUCGCCUCCAGUCGCCGUCGAACCUGUGACGUCACAUGCCACGCGGCGCGCUCUCAUUGGACGCCCGCCGCCGCCUCUUCAUCACGCGCCAAAGGCUCGCCCAGAAAAAUUAGCGCGCCGGAGAAGGGGCACUGCUGACUGCUGGGCUGGCGUCGGCGCGCGCGCGCGCCCCCCCNGGGUCGUCAGUCGUCACGGGGAAGAGGCCGCGCGAUUAAAAAGAUAACACCCAAAAGUAAAAUUAUAAAAAAAAAAAAAAAGAAAAAAAAAAGAGCGUGGGAUUUUGAUAGGUAUACACAGCAGCUGGAACCCAGAUCUGAGUACCUUCCUUUUACAGAAAGCACCCUUUUAGCUGAAAAUAAUAAUAUGAGAGAGAGAGAGAGAGAGAGAGAAGAGAGAGAGAGGAGUUUUUAGGGUUUGUGAUGGAUUAGCCUAGAAGUGGAAAUGACCCACUCACUAUGGCACUUGCGCUCUCUCUCUUUGAUCUAGCUGUAUCCACACACAGUAUAGCGCCUACCAAACUUGUUGAUGGGGAAAAAAAAGAAAAAAAAAAAAAAGAAAAAAAAGAGAGAGAGAUAAAAGAGCAAAAACAAAAGAAAAGAAAUCAAGUAUAAUUAGGGUAAAAAAGAGUGGAUUAGAGAAGAAGAACAGGAGAAAAGUUAGGUCCGGGAAUCACAGGAAAACCCACGAAAAGAUGGGCGCCCUUUACCCAUCUGAGUUCCCUGGAUCCAAAGGAACCCGGGAGAGCCUCUUUUUAUUUUUUUUGAAAAAAAUAGAAAAUUAAUUAAAUAAUCAACUCAUUAAGUAGGAUUUUUUAAAAAAAAAAAGGGGGGGGGGAGAAAAGAACCGCCCCAGUCCACUCUGAUGCUUAUCAACAACUUGUGUCACAUUAUAGACACCAGUAGAGAGGAGGGAGAAACCCAAUUUUUUUUUAUUUUUUUUUUAAUAAUUUUCUUAAAUCUCUUUUAUAUGAUUGGAGGGGUCUGAUGAUUAGAUGUGAAUUGUACGGGCGCGAGGGAAAAGGAGGAGGAGAGGGGGAAAGCAACGUCCACUCCAAAGUAGAGGCAGUGGGGAGAGAGAGAGAGAGAGAGAGAGAGAGAUAACUAAAAAUCGACCAACAAAGAAGCGGAAAAAGAGGAAGGAGAGGGAGCACAGUGGGGGGAGAGAGAGAGAGAGUAUUGGGUGAGGAGGAGAGAGAAAGUGGACAGGUGUCGAGCGAAGAGUCGUCGCCGUCCGCGCCGAUCAGCUGUCCCGUCCCGAACACGUUUCGUGGGCGAUGCGACGCGUGUCCUUUCGCAACUGGGGCGGGGCACAAAUUACCCCCCGGCGGGGCCCACGGGGAGUUAUUCUUCCGAGGUGACACGUCAUCGAUCAGCCUCGGCGCCAUUGAUUUACGGAAGUGCCCUUGGGGCCCGGAAUCCAACUAUCCCGAAGCGGUGGUGGGACUGGACACGUGAGGCCCACGGACUCGGGAUGUGAUGCUCGGUGGGCCCCACACACACCCCACCUCGCCACGGACGGCUGUGAGGAUACGAUUGGGUGACGCUCGAUGACAUCUGAGCCGUCCAGCCCAUCAGCCCCCGGAGCCGUUGGGUGCGGCGGCUUCGGUGGGGCCCGCGGCGGUGCGCGGCUCGCCCAAUCACAGCCGAUCGAUCGCUCCGUUCCCCCGCGAUCGAUGCCGACCACGUGCUGAGCGAUUUGGCACGUGCGCAAUCUCUCUCUCACUCUCUCUCUCUCUCUCUCUAUUGAAAACGCGGUGACUNAAAGUGCAAAAAGAAAGAAAACAAGAAGAGGUUUUAUUAAGUGUGAAGUACUAAUUAUGAGAAAAGAGAAAAAAAAAAAGGGGGGGAGAAAAGAACCGCCCCAGUCCACUCUGAUGCUUAUCAACAACUUGUGUCACAUUAUAGACACCAGUAGAGAGGAGGGAGAAACCCAAUUUUUUUUAUUUUUUUUUUAAUAAUUUUCUUAAAUCUCUUUUAUAUGAUUGGAGGGGUGUGAUGAUUAGAUGUGAAUUGUACGGGCGCGAGGGAAAAGGAGGAGGAGAGGGGGAAAGCAACGUCCACUCCAAAGUAGAGGCAGUGGGGAGAGAGAGAGAGAGAGAGAGAGAGAGAGAGAGAGAGAGAGAGUUAACGAAAAAUCGACCAACAAAGAAGCGGAAAAAGAGGAAGGAGAGGGAGCACAGUGGGGGGAGAGAGAGAGAGUAUUGGGUGAGGAGGAGAGAGAAAGUGGACAGGUGUCGAGCGAAGAGUCGUCGCCGUCCGCGCCGAUCAGCUGUCCCGUCCCGAACACGUUUCGUGGGCGAUGCGACGCGUGUCCUUUCGCAAGUGGGGCGUCACCCCCCGGCGGGGCCCACGGGGAGUCAUUCUUCCGAGGUGACACGUCAUCGAUCAGCCUCGGCGCCAUUGAUUUACGGAAGUGCCCUUGGGGCCCGGACUCCAACUACCCCGAAGCGGUGGUGGGGACUGGACACGUGACGCCCACGGACUCGGGAUGUGAUGCUCGGUGGGCCCCACACACACCCCACCUCGCUACGGACGGCUGUGAGGAUACGAUUGGGUGACACUCGAUGACAUCUGAGCCGUCCAGCCAAUCAGCCCCCGGAGCCGUUGGGUGCGGCGGCUUCGUUGGGGCCCGCGGCGGUGCGCGGCUCGCCCAAUCACAGCCGAUCGAUCGCUCCGUUCCCCCGCGAUCGAUGCCGACCACGUGCUGAGCGAUUUGGCACGUGCGCAAUCUCUCUCUCUCUCUCUCUCUCUCUCUCUCUCUAUUGAAAACGCGGUGACUGUAGCCGCUGCUUCUGGAGGGGUAAUUUUGACUUUUCGUAGAGGUUUAACGGCGAUUUAACGGAGGUGGACGGACGGGCGAGAGUUACAACGCCGAGCGUGUACUGGUGCCGUCCGAGAAAGUUAGAAGGACGCCACGCGUCCCGAUCGACCGACAAAAUUGUCGGAGCCGUCACGAUAUCGUCGCCAUGUGUCAGAGGGAGACACAUCUAUACAACGAAUAAAAAAAAAAACCUUUUUAUAUAUAUAUAUAUAUAUAUUAGAAAUAGAUAGCACGCUGCCAGCUUCAUUUAUUUUAUUUAGAAAUAAAUUUAGCCGAAAAUAUAAAUUAAUUAGGAUUCAAACUUGGGACCUCGGAUAUCAACUACCAAAUACUUUGUCACUUGUUUUAGGGACGGUCGGUAAUUUAAUAAAAAAUAAAAAAAAACUUAAUAUAAAUUUUAUUCUAAUUUUUCCAUCUAAUAAUAUUAGAUGCUUUUUUAAUAUCAAACACUCUCACUACUACUAUUAUUAUUACUAUUAUUAUUAUUAUUAUUAUUAUAGAUCAUUAUAAUUUGGGCCCUCCGUGAUAUAAAAUCGCCACACGGCAAUAUUUUAGGCAGGUGGGGUGGCCCUCGACUGUGGCUCUUUCAAUGUUAUUAUGUUUGUAUCCUGCGACGACUAAUAAGUAAUAACUCUUCUUCUUUUUGGGGAAAGGGACGUGGGCAAUUCCUGUGAUGCCUCUUCCUUGUAAGCGUAGCGCGCUACUUGGGAACACGCAAAGGACUCCUCAAAUGUUCUUUAUCACGAGCCGCAGUGGUUAAUUAGGUGGAAAGUUUUAUGUAGUCUCCCUGAUUUAUAGGACUUUUUGAAAUUGACCCAACAAUGCCUUUUUCGAAUUAACAAGUUAUCGUGUUCAGGUUGGAUCGCCCCAAUAAGAUUGUGCUGAUGUAUUAUCGUGCGCACGCGAAUUUUAUGCAUGAAGUAGCUCGCGGCACCGCAGAUUCGGCAUGUUCACAUCUCCGGUAUUGAUUCUCUUAAAACUAGGUCUCCAGUACGUACUGAAGGGCGAAAAAAAUAAAUAAUUUGAAUGUGUAUAAUUUAGUUCUUUACCUCGGCUUUUUUGACACAACUCAAGCUCGAAAUUGAGUUCAAGUUGUCCAGAUAGACAAAGAAACUGAAGUAGAGCCAAGCUGAAAGUGAUCCCGAUCAAGCAGCAAACUAGGGGUGUCUACUAUUUGGACUUAAGAGCGGUGAUCAAACAAAAUAAGAACGAUUUGACUUGAUUUACUUUGUUUCCAGUUCAAUUCGAUCUGUAAAUUAAUGAAUUUUAGUCAUCAGUUUGAAUUGAUUUAAAAUUUUCCUAUCCACAGGGACUGAACUGAAAUAGGAGCGCGCGAACUUGUUAUUUUAUAACUAUAGAUCAUAACCAUCUUCUAAGAAAAUGCAAUUCGGCAUGGUAAGCUCAAAUCCGAUGUUCUUUAGGAAAGGGAUUCCGCAUACUACACAACCUUAAAAUCUUUUAUCCAAACCUCUGUUUUUUGUAGUUAAUUUGCUCUCCAACAAAAACAAACUGCUACAGGGCUGUUGUGAUUGUUCAAGCCGAAAUGUAUGUCCUGUAGAUAUUAUGGGCUAGAACUCUUAACUUUGGGCUCAUUGUCAACAUUGUGUCAGAUCCAACUCGGCCCAUUUUUCAUUCUGACACAUACAUUUUUUUUUUUUUACAUUUUUGUAUGACUCAUUGUAUUUUGCACUAUAUUCAUCUUUUACAACUGAUUAAAAGUUUUUGGUGAGUGAGAAGGAGAGGUAUAUAUGCCAGCAAAAACUAAAAUGUCCUCCAAAUUUACAAACAAAUUAGAAAACAAAAUUAUUUUACAGAGAACCAGGAGGUAGAUCUAACUUGUGGCUUAGAGAUUAGGUGUCUAAGUGCUGACUGUCUUUUUCUUUUUUCUUUUUUCUUUUUUCUUUUUUUUUCAGGCGAUACGCCCAUGAUGAGGCCCUCGCUGCUUCGGCUUAUUUCACCUAAUUCAUCUUUUCAAUGAAUAGAGUGGGUAGCAUGCUACUUUUUUCUCAAAAAAAAAAAACAAAACAAAACAACAAAUCGGAGCAAAAUUAACGAAAGUCAAACCAGUCAGCUCUCUUGCUUCAAAUUGCAUUUAGGUAGUAAUCAAAUGAGAUCAAAUGCGCCGGUGAAGCCAAGAAGUGACUAGCGGCCUACCGCGACGAGCUUUCUCGCAAGCAAAAGAAAAAAGAAGUGCGCAUGCGUGUGCAUUGUCCUUCGUUCGGUUUUUUCAUUUCGUUUAGUCGUUUGAAAACGCUAAAACAAGAACGUUGAAGUUUUUCCCCCAAAUCAAAACAAAAGUGUACAAGUGGCUAAAGUCGAGCUCGAUUGAGUCCAAUCGUCAAGGUGAUUAAGGUUGUCCUUUUGCACACCCUAUAAAAGUUUGGUAGGUGACUCUAAAAGUCUAUACUUGCCUCUCCUGUGCAUGCAUGGCUUGUGUUCACAUUUGAAAGCGAAAAACUCUUUAUCAAUCACUAAAAAUGUUGGCCUUGACUCCUGAUCAAUUCUAUUUGUGGUUUAUUGACUACUGAUUCGCGCUAGCAUCUGACUUUUGGAAGUGAUUUUUACUGAAGAAAAUUUGCGAACAUAGACUCUAUUUGGGGUCUCUCCAGGAAACAUAGACACAUCUAUAAACUAAAUCAGCAACUCAAGUUUGGACUCAUCUAGAGUUUUUUUUUUUUUUUUUUUCCUUCUCCUAACUAGUACACUAGCUAGUACUCCUUAAAAGCUAUUAAUUGUAAUAAUGUACGUCGAUAUGAGAAAAAAAAAAAAAAAACUGAUACUUAACCUAUUCACUAGAUUAUAUAAUGGAUCCAUCUCAUUAUGAGAGCCGACGAUUAGAAACCGCGAGACAGCUGAUAGAUCUUAAUACUUAUAAUCGAAUUCUGAUCAAUCUAAAUUCAUUUAAAAGUUCACUAGCUUGCACCACUUUUUGACAAGAAUGACACAAUCUCAGACAACAAGAUACCUAUAAGCCAGCUUUGCCAGCUUACCUGGAGGCUGGAGCUUCAAAAGUCUGAUGUUUCACUAGAGUUGUCUAAGAAGCUUGCAUGGCAUUUUCUAUUUUAAAUCAUUUUGUAGCAACUUUACGGUGGUACAGUCAAAAGCAGAAGUCACAUAGGAGCUUUAAUUUUUGAGGUGUUCCCUGUCCUAGCAUCUUUGAGGCUCACCUGCAUAAAUACACUUUUAACAUUUUCGCAAUCAUCUCCUUAAGAGAAGAUGGACGCUAACACGACCUGUAUUCUGUGCGGGACGAAAGAAGAAAUUGUUGAUAACUUAUUUACUUGGUGUGCGUUUCUAGAUUUCUAAUGGCAAUGCUUUGGAAAAUAUGCAGUCAAGUGAUUUACGCGAUGACGUGUCUUUUGGUCUGGAAUAGAUGGAUGAGCAGGAAAGGCUCGCCACCGUCAAACUCCGGGCUAAUAAAAUUAAUAGUCUAUUGGUGGGUCACUUAGGAGACUAGAAACGAUACGAUUUUCAGAACGAUCAAGUCAGAUCCUUUCCUUGGAAUCCGUAAGAUUAAACAACUUAUGAUUCAAUGGUUGGAAUUUCUUUCUGGAGAUUAACUGCUUACAAAUCAAUGUGUGGGCUUUUUUUUUUUCGCCCCAUUUGGACCCUAUGUUGCCUCAUUUAUGUAGUUUAAUUUAUUUCUCUAAUGAAUGAAACAAAUACAAUGCUAUUUUUUUUUCUUAAAAAAAUAUUUUCAAUAUAUAUAUAUAAUUGCCCUUUGUCACUUUGCCCUACGUCUUGCGACAUUGUUAUGCGAGAAUCUAAUGUAUUAGAGAGAAAAAUCUAGCAAAGGAAGAAAAAAUUAUUAUUUGACACUAAUAAGUUAUAUUAAUGGACCAGUCAUUAAAGAGGGCGGGUUGGAAUAUCAAAGAAAAAAUAAAAANAGCCGUCCAGCCAAUCAGCCCCCGGAGCCGUUGGGUGCGGCGGCUUCGUUGGGGCCCGCGGCGGUGCGCGGCUCGCCCAAUCACAGCCGAUCGAUCGCUCCGUUCCCCCGCGAUCGAUGCCGACCACGUGCUGAGCGAUUUGGCACGUGCGCAAUCUCUCUCUCACUCUCUCUCUCUCUCUCUCUAUUGAAAACGCGGUGACUGUAGCCGCUGCUUCUGGAGGGGUAAUUUUGACUUUUCGUAGAGGUUUAACGGCGAUUUAACGGAGGUGGACGGAGGGGCGAGAGUUACAACGCCGAGCGUGUACUGGUGCCGUCCGAGAAAGUUAGAAGGACGCCACGCGUCCCGAUCGACCGACAAAAUUGUCGGAGCCGUCACGAUAUCGUCGCCAUGUGUCAGAGGGAGACACAUCUAUACAACGAAUAAAAAAAAAAAAACUUAAUAUAUAUAUAUAUAUUUUUUUUGUUAGAAAUAAAUAGCACGCUACCAGUUUCGUUUAUUUUAUUUAAAAAUAAAUUUAACUAAAAAUAUGAAUCAACUAGGAUUCAAACUUGGUACCUUGAGUAUCAAUUAUCAAAUAUUUUGUCACUUGUUUUAAAAACGAUCGGUAACUUAGUAAAAAAAAAAAAAAACUUAAUAUAAAUUUUAUUCUAAUUUUUCCAUCUAAUAAUAUUAGAUGCAUUUUUAAUAUCAAACACUCUCACUACUACUAUUAUUAUUAUUAUAGAUCAUUAAAAUUUGGGCCCUCCGUGAUAUAAAAUCGCCACACGGCAAUAUUUUAGGCAGGUGGGGUGGCCCUCGACUGUGGCUCUUUCAAUGUUAUUAUGUUUGUAUAUCCUGGGACGACUAAUAAGUAAUAACUCUUCUUCUUUUUGGGGAAAGGGACGUGGGCAAUUCCUGUGAUGCCUCUUCCUUGUAAGCGUAGCGCGCUACUUGGGAACACGCAAAGGACUCCUCAAAUGUUCUUUAUCACGAGCCGCAGUGGUUAAUUAGGUGGAAAUUUUUAUGUAGUCUCCCUGCUUUAUAGGACUUUUUGAAAUUGACCCAACAACGCCUUUUUCGAAUUAACAAGCUAUCGUGUUCAGGUUGGAUCGCCCCAAUAAGAUUGUGCUGAUGUAUUAUCGUGCGCACGCGAAUUUUAUGCAUGAAGUAGCUCGCGGCACCGCAGAUUCCGCAUGUUCACAUCUCCGGUAUUGAUUCUCUUAAAACUAGGUCUCCAGUACGUACUGAAGGGCGAAAAAAAUGAAUAAUUUGAAUGUGUAUAAUUUAGUUCUUUAGCUCGGCUUUUUUGACACAACUCAAGCUCGAAAUUGAGUUCAAGUUGUCCAGAUAGACAAAGAAACUGAAGUAGAGCCAAGCUGAAAGUGAUCCCGAUCAAGCAGCAAACUAGGGGUGUCUACUAUUUGGACUUAAGAGCGGUGAUCAAACAAAAUAAGAACGAUUUGACUUGAUUUAUUUUGUUUCUAGUUCAAUUCGAUCUGUAAAUUAAUGAAUUUUAGUCAUCAGUUUGAAUUGAUUUAAAAUUUUCCUAUCCACAGGGACUGAACUGAAAUAGGAGCGCGCGAACUUGUUAUUUUAUAACUAUAGAUCAUAACCAUCUUCUAAGAAAAUGCAAUUCGGCAUGGUAAGCUCAAAUCCGAUGUUCUUUAGGAAAGGGAUUCCGCAUACUACACAACCACAAAAUCUUUUAUCCAAACCUCUGUUUUUUGUAGUUAAUUUGCUCUACAACAAAAACAAACUGCUACAGGGCUGUUGUGAUUGUUCAAGCCGAAAUGUAUUUCCAGUAGAUAUUAUGGGCUAGAACCCUUAACUUUGGGCUCAUUGUCAACAUUGUCAGAUCCAACUCGGCCCAUUUUUCAUUCUGACACAUACAUUUUUUUUUUUUUUUUAACAUUUUUGUAUGACUGAUUGUAUUUUGCACUAUAUUCAUCUUUUACAACUGAUUAAAAGUGCAAAAACUAAAAUGUCCUCAAAAUUUACAAACAAAUUAGAAAAGAAAAUUAUUUUACAGAGAACCAGGAGGUAGAUCUAACUUGUGGCUUAGAGAUUAGGUGUCUAAGUGCUGACUGUCUUUUUCUUUUUUCUUUUUUCUUUUUUUUUUCCGGGCGAUACGCCCAUGAUGAGGCCCUCGCUGCUUCGGCUUAUUUCACCUAAUUCAUCUUUUCAAUAAAUAAAGUGGAUAGCAUGCUACCUUUUUCUCAAAAAAAAAAAAACAAAACAAAACAAAACAACAAAUCGGAGCAAAAUUAACGAAAGUCAAACCAGUCAGCUCUCUUGCUUCAAAUUGCAUUUAGGUAGCAAUCAAAUGAGAUCAAAUGUGCCAAUGAAGCCAAGAAGUGACUAGCGGCCUACCGCGACGAGCUUUCUCGCAAGCAAAAGAAAAAAGAAGUGCGCGUGCGUGUGCAUUGUCCUUCGUUCGGUUUUUUCAUUUCGUUUAGUCGUUUGAAAAAGCUAAAACAAGAACGUUGAAGUUUUUCCCCCAAAUCAAAACAAAAGUGUACAAGUGGCUAAAGUCGAGUUCGAUUGAAUCCAUUCGUCAAGGUGAUUAAGGUUGUCCUUUUGCACACCCUAUAAAAGUUUGGUAGGUGACUCUAAAAGUCUAUACUUGCCUCUCCUGUGCAUGCAUGGCUUGUGUUCACAUUUGAAAGCGAAAAACUCUUUAUCAAUCACUAAAAAUGUUGGCCUUGACUCCUGAUCAGUUCUACUUGUGGUUUAUUGAUUACUGAUUCAUGCUAGCAUCUGACUUUUGGAAGUGAUUUUUACUGAAGACAAUCUGCGGGCAUAGACUCUAUUUGGUGUCUCUCCAGAAAACAUAGACACAUCUAUAAACUAAAUCAGCAACUCAAGUUUGGACUCAUCUAGAGUUUUUUUUUUUUUUUUUUCUCCUAACUAGUACACUAGCUAGUACUCCUUAAAAGCUAUUAAUUGUAAUAAUGUACGUCGAUAUGAGAAAAAAAAAAAAACUGAUACUUAACCUAUUGAUCACUAGAUUAUAUAAUGGAUCCAUCUCAUUAUGAGAACCGACGAUUAGAAACCGCGAGACAGCUGAUAGAUCUUAAUACUUAUAAUCGAAUUCUGAUCAAUCUAAAGUCAUUUAAAAGUUCACUAGCUUGCUUCACUUUUUGACAAGAAUGACACAAUCUCAGGCAACAAGAUAGCUAUAAGCCAGCUUUGCCAGCUUACCUGGAGGCUGGAGCUUCAAAAGUCUGAUGUUUCACUAGAGUUGUCUAAGAAGCUUGCAUAGUUGCAUGGCUUUUUCUAUUUUAAAUCAUUUUGUAGCAACUUUACGGUGGUACAGUCAAAAGCAGAAGUCACAGAGGAGCUUUAAUUUUUGAGGUGUUCCCUGUCCUAGCAUCUUUGAGGCUCACCUGCAUAAAUACACUUUUAACAUUUUCGCAAUCAUCUCCUUAAGAGAGGAUGGACGCUAAGUCGCUAACACGACCUGUAUUCUGUGCGGGACGAAAGAAAAAACUUUUGAUAAUUUAUUUACUCGGUGUGCGUUUCUAGAUUUCUAAUGGCAAUGCUUUGGAAAAUAUGCAGUCAAGUGAUUUACGCGAUGACGUGUCUUUUGGUCUGGAAUAGAUGGAUGAGCAGGAAAGGCUCGCCACCGUCAAACUCCGGGCUAAUAAAAUUAAUAGUCUAUUGGUGGGUUACUUAGGAGACUAGAAACGAUAUGAUUUUCAGAACGAUCAAGUCAGGCCCUUUUCUUGGAAUCUGUAAGAUUAAACAACUUAUGAUUCAAUGGGUGGAAUUUCUUUCUGGAGAUUAACUGCUUACAAAUCAAUGUGUGGGCUUUUUUUUUUCGCCCCAUUUGGACCCUAUGUUGCCUUAUUUAUGUAGUUUAAUUCAUUUCUCUAAUAAAUGAAACGAAUAAAAUGCUAUUUUUUUUUUCUUAAAAAAAUAUUUUCAAAAUAUACAUAUAUAUAUAUAUAUAUAUAUAUAUAUAUAUAUAUAUAAAAUUGCCCUUUGUCACUUUGCCCUACUUCUUGCCACAUUGUUAUGCGAGAAUCUAAUGUAUUAGAGAGAAAAAUCUAGCAAAGGAAGAAAAAAUUAUUAUUUGACAUUAAUAAGUUAUUAUUAAUGGACCAGUCAUUAAAGAGGGGCGGGUUGGAAUAUCAAAGAAAAAAUAAAAUAGAAAUAUAUAUAUAUAUAUAAUAUAUAUAUAUAUAUUAUAUAUAUUAUAUAUAUAUAUAUAUAUAUAUAUAUAUAUAGAAUUAGGCCACUUAUACUAUCUAUAGUACGAGCUCCGGUACUAUAGUGUUUGUUUCGAUCUUAGGGCAUCAAUCAACGAUCCACACGUUAAAUAUGAUCUAGGUAUAUGAAUUUCUUAGGAAUAAAAUUUUAGUUUUUUUCGAUAUCAUUUACCUAGUAAAUAAAUUAUAUCAAAAUAGACGGUGGAAAUGAAUAAUCUUUAAAAUUUGAGCAUAGAACUUUUAAAUUCAAGAUCAAGAAUGUUAACCUUAAUCUAUAUAGUUUAAAGUAUUUUCUAUCAAAAUUUGAAGAAAUUUAGAUUCUUCUUACCGUGUAAACUCCAAACUCGUCAUAAUAGCCAUUGAAAAUGACAAUUUGAAAUAGUUUGAUCAUAAAGUAACUAUGUCGAAAAAAUAUAAAAUUUACUUCUAGAACUUUAAAUAUCCUAAAUCAGAUUUUAACGGUGUGGAGUUUGAUUUGAAUGCCUAAGAUCGAAAAACCAACACUAUAGUACGGAGCCUCCGGACUAUAGAUAGUAUAUAGCUAGCCUCUAUAUAUAUAUAUUAUAUAUAAUAUAUAUUAUAUAUACACACACAUUAUAUUGAACGUCAUGCAGGCAAAUAAUGAUUCCAAAAAUAGCAAAAAUAUUCUUUUUUUUUAGCCUCUCUUGUGGACUUAAUGCAUUUACUGUCUGAGGUUGAUGAAUCAAAGAUCUCAUUAUUGGCGGAUGCAAGGACGGUUGGUAGGUAGCUAAAGUCAAAACUCUCAACUGAGUUUGACAAGCGAAAAAUGCAUUUCUGGAUUCUACAAAAAAAAAAAAGAAAAAGAAAAAGAAAAAAAAAAAAAAAAGGGCAAAGUAAACUUUAAUUCGAGCUCCAACUCCCAAUCAUAUAGUUUGACAAAAACAUUGAUCCUCCCACCCUCCCCCACAAAAAUAUAAAUAUAUUUUAUCACAUUAGGAUACAAACAAAUCCAAAUUGUAAUUACAACUAAUGUAUGGGCACAACAGGGUCAAUAAUAUUAAAUUAUGCAAAUUAUUAAUAUUUUUUUAAAUUUGGAUUGAACCCACAUGUUACUUUCUACAGCUAGUUCCCUGCUUUGACCAGAAUCCCCAUCCAACCUCUCCUCAAUGUCCUCAUCCAUAUCCCCCCCCCCUACAGCAACGCGUUUGGGACAACUCAUUUCUAUGUACUACCUCUCUCUUCCCUUAUCCUAUUCCCCAUCCCUUAAUAAAGAGCUCAUCACUCACGUCAUCUCCCCCUACCUCUUCCUUGUCCAUAUCCUAUUCCACACCCAUCUUAUCCUACUCCUAUCCCUCCGAAGCGUGUGAGAUGGUGGAGUAUUAUCGCCUCUACUCGGUGCAUACUUACAUCUCAUACACCGCACCGCUAAAGGCAUGUUGGAUGAAAAACCACUAUAUAUUAAGCUUUUAUUGCGGAUUGUAAGCACUUUACCGUUCAGAUAAAAAAUACAAGAGUAACGACUUGAAUAUUCAUUUUUUACAAAUUAAAUAAUAUUUUCUUUUAUAUUGAUCGCUAGACAUACACUCUUUAAAUUUUAAAUUCAUAUUUUAACUUUCUUUUUUUUUUUUUUAAGUAAUAAGUAGCAAGCUAUCUACUUUAUUCAUUAGGAAAAUAAACUAGGCUUACAUAAUGAAGACAGUCGGGGCCUCCGAAGAAAAAAAGUGAUAUAUAUUUUAACUUUUUUUUUUAGAUAGAUAAAAGUAAAGUUCACUAUAUUUCUUUUUACCCCCGUUUGGUUCGGGAUUAAGGGGUGAAAUAACCCCUUAACCCCGAAGUUAUUCUCAAAUACUCAAUUUGGGGGGUGGGGUUAGCUAACCCCAUCCCACCCCACCCCACAACUUCAACCAAAUAAAAUACUAUUUUACCCACUAUCCUUCUUAUCCCUUCUACUGCAACCAAACACUAUUUUUCUUAAUCCUGGACUAACUCCAACCCCCAACCAAACACAAAAAAUACUCUAACCCCACCUUAACCCUGAACUUAACUCUAUCCCUAGAAUAACUAGUUUUUUCUUAACCACGAACCAAACGGUAGCUUUAGAAAUGAACUUGCUAGAAAUAGGAUAUUAUAGUGAUACGCCCGGUGCAGGCAAUAUUUUUGCCGUUUUCUUGGUUAGCGCGUGAGCCGCGGCUUACAGGAACGCCCCAGCUAGUCAGACCCCACACCGCAUGGCGGUCUCUUUCCUUCCGUCGAAAGAAAGAUUCAUCCGUCUUCCAAACCGCGUCCACACGGUAUUCCC
rnacentral:lncRNA from 1 species